rnacentral:lncRNA from 1 species
GUUGCUUCAAGUCUCCAAUGAUAGCUAAGUCCUCCAGUUGGCACCGAUGCAAGCAAAGGGUAUGAAGGUUGGAUAGGAAAGCGAGCGAUGAAGGGAGGGACACAAAAUGGAUCCCAGUAAAAUCCACUACUUCCAGGUUUCUAAUGCCCUUGAAAAACUGAUGUGGGAUUCCCAAACAAAAAACUUUUGUGACAAGGAAUAGUGCCUCUGCUUUUGGGCACUCCCAUCCUUCGGAGAGAUUUUCAAUAUCACAAUACUGCAGAGAAAUUCUGGUGCAAUCCUUAUUUGGGAAUUUCAUCAACUCCCUGCCACUUGUAAUUAUAAACGCAUGUUGCUCUCUAGAUGCAAUCAAGAGAGCAGUAUCUCGAACAACAUCAUGGAUUUUUACGAAUCCAUACAUGUCGCCAUCUAGCAAUAAGCUCUGCGCUUUAAGGGUAUCAAUCAGAUCACGUAGUUUGUUUCUUGCUUCUUCCACAGUAGAAAUGUUCUUGAAUAAACUAAGACCCAUGAUGUAUUUCAGCAAGGACUGGAUUUGAAUAUUAGAUUGUCCUAUCAGGCCACAAAGCAAGAAAAGCGACUUGACUUCAUUGCCACACAAAUUGUAGUAGCUUGACUCCAGAACCGCGUGUACUUUUGAAUUUAUUUCUGCAUUGUCAAACUCAGAUAAUUGCUUCAGCUUAUUACUCCAUGCGUAUGCCUCUCUAUUUCUCAAGUCUGUCGCCAUUAUGAGCAAUAGAAGAGGCAAUCCUGCACAUUUUUUAGCAACUUCUGCGGCGAUAGGAGGCAAUUUUGAAUUUUUAGCAGAUGAGACAGUCAUUUCAAACAAACUCCAAGCCUCUUCGUCCUGUAGAACGUCGAGUCUGAAUUCUUUCUGUGUGCCCAUCUCACGAGAUAACACAUCUUGGUUCCUUGAGGUGAGAAACAUUUUGCAUCCUUUGAAAUCAUCUCCAAAGGGAAUUCCCACUGCAUUUAAAUCAAGUUGUUUCCAAAUAUCAUCAAGAAUUAUAAGUACCUUCUUCUUCUCUUUCUCCAACUCUUUCUUCUCUUUCUCCAACUCUUUCUUCAACCUCUCAUAUAGCCGAUUAGCUCUUCCAGGUAUUUCCUCCCCCUCAAAUUUCAAGCCCAGGAUAUCACCGACCUCCGAUUGAAUUCUUCGGAGUUCUGGUGUUUGACCUACAGCAACAAUAGCGACGACGUCGAAUAGCUUCUCUUCCAGAGCUUUUCUGUGGACCUGUUUUGCUAGGGUGGUCUUACCCACACCUCCAAGUCCAUACAACCCGAUCAUAGUAAGAUCUGGAUCUAAUAGUGCAUCCAUAACUUUCUCCAAGAACAACUCUCUUGAAUUCAAGCCCUCACGAGCAUAUACUGACGGGGCAACUAUCUGCUGUAGAGGGGGACGGAAGGAAAUUGGAUCAUGGUCGUCUUCACUCGCAAGGUCACGAAUUGCCAUAGCUUUCUUCUCUGCUUUCUUGCUAAGCUGAUAGCGUAUCUUCAAAUCAGGACAUAAUCCAACGAAACACCUCUUUUUCGCUUGUUCUUCGCCUUUGAUACAUUCCUCAGCUUCUUCAAUAGCUUUGCCUGCAUCGUUCAGCCACUUGUUGACACUUUCAUAGAUCUCUUCCCCUUUCCUUGUAGCCUCCUCAACGGAUUGCUGCAACUUGACUGUUCUGUUCUUCAAUUUCUCAGCCUCACUCUGGAGAAUCUCAACCUUGCUCUUGUAGGUGAAAGGAUAACUGACAUGCUGUUUGAUUGGCGCAAGGACAAAUUGCAUGAUGGAUUCUUUGAAGACAUCUGAGAAAAUGGAGACAAAGAUACCGGGAACCAUUUUGAUUUUUUAUUUUUAAUUUUUUCCCUGAAAUAUCAGAAGGGAAGAAAAAUUGAACAAGAAAUAAAGAUGACAGCAACAAAGGAUUGGUGAGCUGAAAAGGAAACAGAGUUGCAGAGAAUGAACAGAGAUGGAAGGAUACAGAGAGCGAGUGAGUCUGGCAAGUGCAUCUCUUUCUUGGUUAUAUAAUAAAUUUUUGUCAACUUUUAAGCAUUUUAAUGAUGUUGAAAAAUGAGAGUUGACAACUUGACAUGUGACUAUGCUUCAACACCGAGAAACGGGAAGGAAGUGGAAGAAGAUGACAGCCUGGAGGAAAGAGGUUGUGGUUCUGGCAAAUUAGAAAAGUUCUACUAGUAAAAAAAAAUAUUUAAUCUAUGUAAUAUAAAAAUGUAUGAAAAAUAAAUUUAAUUAAAAUUUUGUAUUUUUUAAGAGUUAAAUAAGUCAAUUUUUUUCAAAUAAACUUAUAAAAUUCAUCAUUAAAAUAAAAUAAUUUUUUUUUAUCUAAUAAAAUGUUGUUUAAUAAUAAAAUUCUAUUUUUAUAAUUUAAAACAUUAUUUAUCAUUAUUUAUGUAUAUAAAAAAAUUUUAUUUCAAACUAAAAAUAUUUUAUUAUUAAAAAAUAAUAUUAUAUUCGAUAAAAUUUAUUUAGUUUUAGAGCUAAAAUUUAACCAUAUAUUUAGUAAAAAAAUUGAAUAAAUAUAAGAGUUUAUCAAGAGCCAGCCAUGAGUUUUCAAUUAAGCUAAGUGAAAUUUAAUAUUGAAUGGCAAUUAGCUAAGUGAAAUUUGAUAUUUAAUUGUUGUGAUAGUGAAGGAAAGCAAAUUUUUUUAUAAAUUAGGGAUUUUAAUUCAUCUGCUUGUUGAUUAGUAGAAUUUAUUUUAUAGGAAAAAAAUUUUAAAAAAAUUAUAAAAUUAUGCAAGAAUUUAAUUUUUUUUAAUAUAUAUUUUUUUAAUUUAUUUAUUUAAAAUUAAAUUUUUUUAAUUGAAUUUUUAUAAAAUUUUUAAUUUUAAAUGAAGAGUUAAAAUUUUAAAUUUGGGUGUCUUAAAAAAAUUUUCAAUUUGGGUUAUGAGAUUUUAAAUAAGACUUAAUUGUGGUUUAAUAGUAAUUAAUGUCAAAAUUGUUAUUUAAUUGUUUAAGAUCUAAAGGUUAAAAUAUAAAUAUAAUUUUUUUAAAAAAUUUGAAUUAUUUUACUUAAUAAAUAAAAAAUAAAAUUAAUUAAAAAGUUUUUUAAAAAAGUCAUUAGGAUCAAUUUUGGUCAAAUUUGAUUUUAAGUCUUAAAUAAAAUCAUAACUAGUCUCAAAGUUAUAUUUUAAUUAUCUAAGAUUAAAGGUUGAAAUAUAAAUAUGAAUUUGCCCUAAAGUUUUAGAUCAUCUUAAUUAAUAGAUUUUUUAUUUUAUUAAUAAAUAAAUUGAUUCUAAUUUUUUAUUUUUUAUUAAUAAAUAUUUAUAAGAAUAAAUUAUAUUUUAAUUUUUAAAUUUUAAUAUAAUUAAUAAAUUAAUUUUUAUAUUUCAUUUUAUAAUUUCUCUAUUAAAAUUAGAGCUCUUUCUAUUUAUAAUUUUAUUAGUUAAUGGGUCAGAUGGAGAUUAAAUAUUUAAAAUAUUUAAAAUAUCUUAUAAAUAUUUAAAUUCCGUAAAAAAUUUUAUUUUGUAUAAAAUUUUUAGUUUUAACUUAAUUGACAUAUUUCUAAAUUUUAGUAUAAUUGAUGGAUAAUUUUUAUAUUUUUAAAAUUAAAUUUUCAAAUUUUUCUAUAUUUAAUCAUUUAAAAAUAUAAUUUUUUUCAUUCAUUAUAAAUAUUAAUUCAAAAUUAGUGGAUGAUUAAACUAUUUCUGAAAAUAUAAUUUAUUUUUAAAAGAUUUUUAUAAAAGUUUAUGAUUUAUUUAAAAAUUAUUUGGUAUCAUUCAAAAAUAAAUGAAACUAUAAGUAUUUUUUAAAAGUUUUGAAAUUAUAAAUAUUGAAAUAUUUUAAUAAAUAAAAUUAAAAAUUAAAAAAUAUAAAAAAUUAAUUAAAUUAAAUAUUAUAAAUAAAAAUUAAUAAAAAUUUAAAUGUUAUUUUAAAUAAAAAAUAAAAAAUUUAAAUAUUUAAAUUAUAAUAAAUCGAUUAUAUAGAAAUUUAAAUUUAUAAUUUUAAAAAUAUAAAAAUUAAUAUAUUAAUUAUAUUAAAAUUAAUUAUUCAAAUAUAAUUUAUUUAUUUAAAAAAUAAUAAAAAUAUUUUUAUAAUUUUAAUAAUAAAAAUAAAUAAAUAAUUCUGAUUUAACAGAAAAUUUUAAAUAUUUAAUUUAAAAAAUAUAAAAAUUAAUCUAUUAAUUAUAUUAAAAAUAAUAAUAUUUUAUUUUUAUUAACAAAUAUUAAUAAAUUUUUGUCAUUAAUAAAUUUUGGAUAAACUGUAAUUUAAUCCCUCUAAUUUAGUGAAAUGUAACCUUUUAUCCCUCUGUUUUAAAAAAUCUUCAAUUUAGUCACUGUGAUUUUUAAAAACUAUGACAUUAGUCCCUCCCGUCAGAUUUUCAGUUAAAUCACCGUUAAUUUUAGUUAAAAAGACUAAAAUACUCAUUCUCUCUCCUUCCUCUUCCUCCUCCUCUUCUUCUUUUUCUUCUCCUUUCCGAUCUCCUUCUUCUUCUUCUCCUCUUUUCGGAUCUCCUUCUUCCUCUUCUUCCUCUUCUUCUCCUUCCUAAUGUUACGACUUGGUGCGCGCAGGGGUAAUUAGAAAGAAAGUUGGACCCAUUUACUAAAAAGAGUGGAAAUCUAACAAGAGUGUUUGGUCAGGAGCCAUAGCGCCAACAGCUGGAAUAUUGUGAAUUGUGAUGGACUGAUAGUCAACAUAAACAGUCCCCCGUAUAAAUUUGCCAAAUUCUUCACCAGUCCACCCUCAUUAUCACUCUUCAUUCUCUCUAAUCUCUGUUUGAAUCCAUGUCAGAUCUUAAGUCAACUUUCUUGAAUGUCUACUCUGUUCUCAAGUAGGAGCUCCUUGAGGACCCGGCUUUCGAAUGAACACCAGAUUCCCAUCAAUGGGUCGAGCGGGUACUUCCCACUCCCUCUGCAUUCGUUUUUUACAACUCAUUGUUUAUUGGAGCUAUUUUUGUUCAAGUGAUUCGAUUUUUCUUGUUUUGUUUGAUUUGGUUUCUGGGUUGUGAUUAAAUCUCGAUUUUUGUUGAUAUGGAAAAUACUGCUUUUCUUUACGUUUCACUUUCAUAUCGGAAAAGAGAAGAAGAAGAAGAAGAAAAAGAAGAAGAAGAAGAAGAAGAAGAAGGUUUCUGGUUGUGAUUGAAUCUCGAUUUUUGUUGAUAUGGGAAAUGCUGCUUUUCUUUACGUUUCACUUUCAUAUCGGAAAAGAGAAGAAGAAGAAGAAGAAGAGGAAGAAGAAGGAGAUCGGAAAAGAGAAGAAGAAAAAGAUCGGAAAGGAGAAGAAGAAGAAGAGGAGGAGGAGGAAGAGGAAGGAGAGAGAAUGGGUAUUUUAGUCUUUUUAACUAAAAUUAAUGGUGAUUUAACUGAAAAUCUAACGAGAGAGACUAAUGUCAUAGUUUUUAAAAAUUACAGUGACUAAAUUGAAGAUUUUUUAAAACAAAUGGACAAAAGGUUGUAUUUUACUAAAUUAGAUGGACUAAAUUAUAAUUUAUCCAUAAAUUUUUGCUGAAAAACGAGAGUUGACAACUUCACAUGUGAUGAUGCUUCGACACCAAAAAGCGGGAAGGAAGCGGAAGAAGAUGACAGCCUAGAGGAAAGAGGUUGGUGGUUUUGGCAAUAAAAAAGGUUCUACUAGGAAAAAAAAAUAUUUAAUCUACGUAAUAUAAAAAUUUAUGAAAAAUAAAUUUAAUUAAAAUUUUGUAUUUUUUAAGAGUUAAAUAAGUCAAACUUUUUCAACUAUAUUUAGUAAAAAAAUUGAAUAAAGUUAUUUAGCUUCUUAAUUAAAUGAGUUUAAUUGACUUAUUUAUAAAAUUUUAUUAAAUAAUUAAAUAUUAGAGAAAAAAACUAAAAUAUUUUUAAUUAUUUUAUUAAAUUUAAAUCAGGGAUUUUAAUUCAUCUGCUUUUUUAUUAGUAGAAUUUAUUUUAUAAGAAAAAAUUUUAAAUAAUCAUAAAAUUAUACAAUAAUUUAAUUUUUUUUUGUAUAAUAAUUUAUUUUUUUUUAAAUAUCUUUUUUAAAAUUAAAAUUUUAUUUUAAAUGAAGAGUUAAAAAUUUCAAUUUGGGUUAUAAGAUUUUAAAUAAGACUUAAUUGUGGUUUAAUAGUAAUUAAUAUCAAAAUUGAUAUUUAAUUGUUCAAGGUCUAAAGAUUAAAAUAUAAAUACAAUUUUUAAAAAAAUUUGAAUUGUUUUACUCAAUAAAUAAAAAAUAUAAUUAAUUAAAAAUUUUUAAAAAAGUCAUUAGAAUAGCCGAAUUCAGUUUUGUUCAAAUUUAAUUUUAAGCCUUAAAUAAAAUCAUAACUAGUCUCAAUAAUUUUAGACCCAACCUAGUUAACCAGAAAAAGAAACUUUCAAUUUGAUUUAUUUAUUUACAUUAAAUUGAUGAGAUUUUACUGACAUCAUGUAUUUCUAUUUGAAUAUUUGCCAACCAUAUAAUUUUAAAAUAAAAAUUAUUAAUUUUUAAUUUAAUUAAAUUAAAAAUAUAAAUUUUUAUUUGCUAGAUGAUCAGUAAUUUUUUAUUUAAUUAGAAUAAUAAAAAAAUAACAUUAUUUGCUUGUAUAUUUUUUAAUUUUAUAUUAUAAUUUAUGCAAAGAAUGAACAGAGAUGGAAGGAUACAGAGAGCAUUUGAAUGAUAUUGAAAAACGAGAGUUGACAACUUGACAUGUGAUGAUGCUUGGACACCGAGAAGCGGGAAGGAAGUGGAAGAAGAUGACAGCCUAGAGGGAAGAGGUUCUGGUUCUGGCAAUUAGAAAAAUUCUACUAGGAAAAAAAAAAUAUUUAAUCUAUGUAAUAUAAAAAUUUAUGAAAAAAUAAAUUUAAUUAAAAUUUAGUAUUUUUUAAGAGUUAAAUAAGUAAACUUUUUUCAAAUAAACUUAUAAAAUUCACCAUUAAAAUAAAAUAAUUUUUUAUCUAAUAAAAUGUUUUUUAAUAAUAAAAUUCUAUUUUUAUAAUUUAAAAAAUUAUUUAUCAUUAUUUAUGUAUAUAAAAAAAAUUUUAUUUCAAAUUAAAAAAUACUUUAUUAUUAAAAAAAUAAUAUUAUAAAAUAAAAUUAUAUAUUCCUUUGUGUAAAUUGAAUAAAAUAAUGCAAACCUUUUAAUACUUUCAUAUUUAUAUAUAAUGUUUUAAUUUUGGAUAAUCUUAAACCAUAAUUUUGAAAUUAGUCACAUUUAUGCAAGAGCUAAAAUCAAUUUGAUCACUUGUUAUCCCACAUUCCUACUUGACAUUUUUUUAAUUUUUUACUUAUUAAAAAAAAUAAUCUAACUAUUUUUUAAUUUAUAUUUAUAUUUCAAUAUUUUUAGUAUAUUAAAUAAAAUAAUUUAAAUAUUUUAUAAAUUUACAUUUAUAUCAUAACUUUUCAAUUUUGGAUAGAGCAAAUAAGUGCAUUAAAACACCUAGAAUAUUAACUACCACAUUUUUAAAUAGGCAGUUAUAAAAAAAAUAAAAUUAAUCAAUAAUUUUUUUUGCCACUCUAAUUAUAAGGAAGAUGUUAGAAUCAAAAUAAAAAAAUAUAAAAGAAAAUAGAAAUAACGAACAAGAGAGACCUGUUUGGGGAAUAAGAAAAUUUUAAAAGAGAGGGAAAAUAUUAGAGCUUAUCAAGAGUCAGCCUUGAGUUUUCAAUUAAGGCAAGUGAAAUUUGAUAUUUGAUUGUUGUGAUAGGGAAGGAAAGCAAAUUUUUUUAUAAAUUAGGGAUUUUAAUUCAUCCGCUUUUUGAUUAGUAGAAUUUAAAAAUUAUAAAAUUAUAGAAGAAUUUAAUUUUUUUUAAAAAUAUAGCUUUUUUUAAUUAAAUUUUUGUAAAAUUUUUAAUUUUAAAUGAAGAGUUAAAAUUUUCAAUUUGGGUUAUAAGAUUUUAAAUAAGACUUAAUUGUGGUUUAAUAGUAAUUAAUGUUAAAAUUGUUAUUUAAUUGUUCAAGAUCUAAAGAUUAAAAUAUAAAUAUAAUUUUUUAAAAAAAUUUGAAUUAUUUUACUCAAUAAAUAAAAAAUAUAAUUAAUUAAAAAUUUUUAAAAAAGUCAUUAAGAUAGCAUGUGCGGAAUUCAGUUUUGGUCAAAUUUGAUUUUAAGUUUUAAAGAAAGUCAUAACUAGUCUCAAAGUUGUAUUUUAAUUUUAUAAGAUUAAAAGUUGAAAUAUAAACAUGAAUUUGCCAUAAAAUUUUAGAUCAUCUUAAUUAAUAGAUUUUUUUUUAUUUUUUAUAAAUAAAUUGAUUCUAAUUUUUUAUUUUUUAUUAAUAAAUAUUAAUAAGAAUUUAUAUUUUAAUUUUUGAGUUUUAAUAUAAUUAAUAAAUUAAUUCUUAUAUUUCGCUAUAUAAUUAAUCUCUUAAAAUUAGAAUUUUUUUUAUUUAUAAUUCCAUUAAUUAAUUGGUGUAAAUGGAGAAUAAAUAUUUCAAAUAUCUAAAAUACUCCAUAAACACUUAAAUAAUUUCUAAACGUGUAAAAAAUUUUAUUUUAUAUAAACUACACUUUUAUCCCUAAAUUUUAGCGUAAUUGACGGAUAAUUUUUAUAUUUUUAAAAUUAAAUUUUUAAAUUUUUUUAUAUUUAAUACAUUUAAAAAUACAGUUUUUUUUUAUUUAUUAUAGAUAUUAAUCCAAAAUUAGUGGAUGAUUAAACUAUUUCUGAAAGCACAAUUUAUUUUUAAAAUAUUUAAUCUAUGUAAUAUAAAAAUUUAUGAAAAAUAAAUUUAAUUAAAAUUUAGUAUUUUUUAAGAGUUAAAUAAGUCAAAUUUUUUCAAAUAUAUUUAGUAAAAAAUUUGAAUAAAGUUGUUUAGCUUCUUAAUUAAAUGAGUUUAAUUGGCUUAUUUAUAAAAUUUUAUUAAAUAAUUAAAUAUUAGAGAAAAAAUUAAAAUAUUUUCAAUUAUUUUAUUAAAUUUAAAUUAUGUCUAAUUUAUGAAUUUAAUACAUCGUAUUUAUAAGAUAUUCAACAUGAAAAAAUUAUCUAUAACUCAUAUAAAAGAUAAAUUAUUCCUUUCUUUUCAUAAUCAAAAUAAAAUUCAACGCAUUUAAUAAAGAUAAUAAUUUUGAUGAAUACCUUUUAAUAUUAAGUACAACAAACAUUGAAAACAUAAAAUUAAUUAAUAAUUUUUUUUAAAAUAUUAUAAUAUAUUUUUUAAAAUUAAAAAUAAUUAAUAAGUUUUUUCCUACACAUUAAAUAAUAAUAUUUAAAAAAGUGUUGGGUCAAAUUAUAAAACUGAAUUAUAUAAUUUUUUUAUGUGAAGUAAAUAAAAUAAUCCAAACCUUUUAAUACAUUCAUAUUUAUAUAUAAUAUUUUAAUUUUGAAUAAUCUUAAACCACAAAUUUGAAAUUAGUCACAUUUAUAUAAGAGCUAAAAUCAAUUUGAUAACUUGCUAUCCUACAUUCCUACUUGACAAUUUUUCAAUUUUUUUAAUUUUUAAUUUUUAAUUUAUUAAAAUAAUAAUCUAACUAUUUUUUUAAUUUAUAUUUAUAUUUUAAUAUUUUUAAUAUAUUAAAUAAAAUAAUUUAAAUGUUUUAUAAAUACACAUUUAUAUCACAAUUUUUUAAUUUAGGGCAAAUAAAUGCGCUAAGACACCUGAAAUAUUAACUACUACACUCUUAAAUAAAAUAUUUACAAAAAGAAAAAUAAUUAAAUUAGUCGAUAAUUUUUUUUAUCACUCUAAUUAUGAGAGAUGUUAGAAUUAAAAUGGAAAAAAGUAUAGAAGAAAAAAGAAAUAACGAAUGAGAGACUUGUUUGGAAAAUAAAAAAAUUAAGAAAAAAAAAGAGUGAAAAUAUUAGAGCUUAUCAAGAACCAGCCAUGACUUUUUAAUUAAGCCAAGUGAAAUUUGAUAUUUGAUUGUUGUGAUAGUGAAUGAAGCAAAUUUUUAUAAAUAAGGGAUUUUAAUUCAUCUGCUUUUUGAUUCAUAGAAUUUUUUUUAUAAGAAUUUUUUUUUAAAAAGUUAUAAAAUUAUACAAAAAUUUAUAAUUAAAAAAUACAUUUUUUUAAUUGAAUUUUUAUAAAAUCUUUAAUUUUAAAUGAAGAGUUAAAAAUUUCAAUUUGGGUUAUGAGAUUUUAAAUAAGACUUAAUUGUGGUUUAAUAGUGUUUAAUGUCAAAAUUGUUAUUUAAUUGUUUAGGACCUAAAUUGUCAACGGGUUCUUCGAGCACGUUGAAAAUAUUUUUUAAAAAAAUUUGAAUUAUUUUACUCAAUAAAUAAAAAAAUAUAAUUAAUUAAAAAUUUUAGAAAAAAAGUUAUUAGGAUAAUAUGUGCAGAAUUCAGUUUUGGUCAAAUUUAAUUUUAAGUCUUAAAUAAAAUCAUAACUAGUGUCAAAAGUUGUAUUUUAAUUUUCUAAGAUUGAAGGUUGAAAUACAAAUAUGAAUUUACCCUUAAGUUUUAGACCAUCUUAAUUAAUUAUUUAUUUUAAUUUUAUUAAUAAAUAUUAAUAAAUAAAUUAUUUUUUAUUAAUAAAUAUUAAUAAGAAUAAAUUAUAUUUUAAUUUUUAGAUUUUAACAUAAUUAAUAAAUUAAUUCUGUAUUUCUAAAAUAAAAUACUUAAAUCUGUAUAUAACUAAUCUAUUUAAAUUAUAAUUUUUUUAUUUAUAAUUCUAUUAAUUAGAAAAUAAACAUUUCAAACAUAUAAAAUAUUUCCAUAUAAUAAAGAAUUUUAUUUUAUAUAAAUUAUAUUUUCGUAAUUUUAAUGAAAUUGAUGAAUCAAUUUUUAUAUUUUUAAAAUUAAAUUUUUAAAUUUUUUUAUAUUUAAUUCAUCCAAAUAUUAUGUUAUUUUAUUCAUUAUAUACACCAAUUCAAAAUUAGUGGAUUAUUAAAUUAAUUUUUGAGAGUAUAAUUUAUUUUUAAAAUACUUUUUUAAAAAUUUACAAUCUAUUAAAUAUAUAAUUUAUGUAUAAUAAUAAUUAUAAAUAUUUAUAAUACACGUAUUAUUUAAUUUAAAAUAAUAAUAUAUACAAAAUAAUAUAUAUAUAUAUAUAUAUAUAUAUAUAUUAUAACUUUUUCAUAAUUAUUGUUACACAUAAAAUAAAAGAUGAAAAGUGGUUAGCUUCAAAGAAUGACAUGUGCACUUCCUUUAGUUAUAUUAUAUAUUAAAUUAUAUAAUAAUAUAGAAAAGAUAUAAAUAUAAUAAAUAUAAAUUAAUAUUAUUUUUAUUCAUAAAAUUAAUUUAUAUUUAAAAAAUAAUAUAAACAUAGUGUUUUUUUGGGUAAAUUAGUUUUAUAGCAUUUGAAGCCCACACAUAUUAUAUUGAGGAAGGAGUGAGAAGCUGAAAUUCAGAAACAUUCAGAAUCAAAGGGUUCAUGGGCCGUUGAUCAAUUCAAAAUUUCAAUAAUUUUAUACCCAACCUAGUUGAACGGAAAAAGAAAUUUUCAAUUUGGUUUAUUUAGUUAAAUUGAAUUGAUGAGAUUCUACUGAUAUCUUUAAAUAUGUGAGCUAGUUGUGAACUAUAUAAUUUUAAAAUAAAAUUUAUUAAUUUUUAAUUUAAUUAAAUCAAAAGCAUAAUUUUUAUUUACUAGAUGAUCAGUAAUUUUUUGUUUAAUUAGAACAAUAAAAAGUAACAUUAUUUGCUUGUAUAUUUUUUAAUUUUAAAUUAUAAUUUAUGCUAUUUUAUAUUAAAAUUAUAAAAUUAAUUUAAUUUCAAUUUUAAAUUAUUUACUUAUAUCACAAGAUAUUUUUAAAAUUUAAAACGAAAAUUUGAGAUUUUUUUUUAUUCCUUAAAUGGUACUCUACAAAGACAUUAAUGAGAUUCGGUUUAAAAUGAUAGCUAAAAUCAAUAAAUAAACCACAAUUAUUUAAUGGCUAUCAUGCUGUUAUCCAUUUCUAAUUAAAUUGAAUAUCGGUCUAUUUAAUUUAAAAUUAAAUUAAAUAAAUUAAAAAUUAAAAUUUUGAUAUUUAUAAAAAUUAAAUCUAAUUAAUUUUGAUCAGAAAUUAAAUCGAAUCGAAUUGAUUUAAUUCGAUUUGAUUUAAUUCAGUUUGAUCGGUUUAAUUUUUUAAUAAAUUUUUUAAUUUUUACACUUUAUUUUUAAUAUUUUAAAAUUUAAUUGAAAUAUUUUAAUUUUAUAAAAUGCUUUCUCAUAAAAAGAUCAAUUCUGGCCAACAAAAUACUACCCCAUAUAGCAAUAUCAGAUAAUUUUCAUUCAAAUUCAAAUUUUUAGUAUAUUUUUAUUUUGAUCAUUUAAUUUUAUUUUUUUAAAAAUUUUUCAAAUUUCAAUUAAAUUUUCAUUCAACUCUUUCUAAGCAGACUUCUAGAUUAAAAUGAAUUAAAAAACUUUUUCUUUUUAUUCUUUUUUAUUUAUAAAAAAAAUUAAAUAUUUUCUCCCUUUCCUUUCUCUCCCUACUAAAAAGAUAGGAUUUCAUUUUGCAAUAUAAAAAAUAAUAGAGAAAUUUAAAGUUAUCUAAAAUUAUUACAGUUAUCUAUAAUAAAAUAAAAAAAAAUUAAAGAUAAAAUAAAUUAAACCAAUACUUCUUAUGCAUUGAUUAAAGAAAAACUGAAAAUAACAUCACAUUUCUAAUAAUCAUCACUUAUUUUAUUUUUUAAUAAAGUCCAAGGAAUAUAUAUAAUAUACAGGUUAUGUUUUAUUUUUUUUUUAUAAAUUUAUUAUUUAAACUAUUUUAAAUUUUUAAAUAUUAAAAUAUUAUUUUAAAAAAUAGAAUAAUAAUUAUCUAAAAUUAAUUUUAUUAUAAAUAUGUAUAAAAUUUUGUAAAUAACCAUUUAAAAAAAACCUAUCCUUUAACCUUUAAAAUAAAAUGAUAAAUUAACAAAUAAUUUACUUUUAAUAAAAUUUUAUAUUUUUAUUUUAAAUAUAAAAAUAUUAUACAUUUAAAAUAAAUUAAUAAAUAAUAUGCAGAAUACAGUUGUUUAAAUACUAAAAUUUCAUUUAUAAAAUGAUCUAAAUUAAUAUCUAAAAAUUAUUCAUUAAUGUUUAAAAUAAAAUUGUAUCUAAUUAAUAUUUUUAUUAUUAGUAAAAAAAUUUUUGUUUAAUUUAAAAAUAAAAUAUAAAAACAUAUUAAUUAAACUAUUAAAAUAAAAUAAUUAAUAAGUUAUGUGAAUAAAUAUAUAAAAAUUAAAAAUAAAUUAAAAAAAGAAGAGAUAAUAAAAAUAAAAAAUAGAUGAUAAAAAAGAGAGAAAACAGAUUAUUUAUUUAAAAUGAAAAAAUAAAAUUAAGUGAUCCAAUUAAAAAUAUAUUAAAAAUUAAAAAUUAUCGAAUAAAAUAUUAGAUAUAUAUUCUGAUCUUAGAAAAUAGUGGGCUAAUUGAUUGUCUUUUCCAUAUGGGGUUAAAUCAAUUCAUUUGAAAUCAGCCACUUGGUGUUUGUCCAAUGCGUUCCAGACUUUGAUUACAAUUUUCCUUAAAAAUCCAAUCUUUUUUGCAUCACCCAAUAAGCACCCUUCAAGAUUCCUUUUCUUCUGUUUGGACUCAGUGGAUUACUUCACGCGUAAUUAAUAAGGAGAGAGAUUAAGUAUAUACUUAACUUAAAAGUCAACCUUUUACUUUUAUUAAAAUUUGGAAACUAAAUGUUUUAAUUUAUUAAAAAUAAACUUAUACUUAAUAUAUUUAUUUUUAAAAAUUAAAAUUUCAAAUGCCAGCUCUUAUAUUAAGAAUUUCAUAAUCUAAAUGUGUAUUAUAUUUACAGUAUCAAAAUUCUUUAUACACUUGCUUGAUGGGAGUUUUCAUAUGCUAAAUAUUAAAACUUUUCCUCACUUUCUUUUUACAUUAUUUAAGUGUUUGUACAUAAAUGAGUCUUAGGCUUUAAAACAUAAAGUUUAAAGAGUUACAAUAAAAGAAUGUGAUAUCUUAUAUUUGGCCUAAGGAUAUAUUCCUUUAUAAGAAUAUGUCUUUUGAUAUAAUUGGAUUGAUAGUUAACUCAUUUCACUUUUCAACACUAUAUCAUUAACAUUGUUGUAUUCUUAUUAACAAACAUCUAUAAAUCUUGCAUUCUUGAUCACUUCAAAAUCUCAGCUUUUAGGUUGAACAAGAAAAUGAUGUUUAGUUGCUCUUCCGAGACAAGUCGGCGUAGAAUUUUAUUAUCCAAUCAAAAAGUAAAUAUAUAUUCAGUAUUGGGCAACACAGCCAAGAUCACAUCUACAUAUAUCUUUACUUAAUUCUUUGCCAUUGAAAUAGCAUCAAUAAGCUUGUUGAUAAGGCAUAUUUCCCUUAACCAUGGGUAGAGUAUGACAAUAUUUUUUAUCUAGUUUAUGUCAUCUUCUUUGCUAGUAUAAGGAUUGAAACUACAAAAAUUGGUCACUCUCUCAUUAGAAGUCCAAACCAGGAAAUCAUACAUUGAAUACAUCCUAUGGAUGAAAAGACAUAUUGGAGAAUGGAUAACCCCUCAUUGCAAGUUUGUCGCUAGUGUAGAAGAAUCACGUUCCAUUUAUACACAUAUAGAAAAAUUGACUAAUAAUUAACUUUUGAAUUUACACAUAAGAAAAUCAUACUUAAAUAAAAGAAUGGCAAUAAAAAACUACCUCGAACUGAAAGAAAAAAAUAGCAAUUUAUUUUUAAUUUAAAAUGGAUAGCGAAAAUGGUGUUUAAUAGAGAUGCUCCAGAAAGUUCAAUACAAGAAAAACAGAUGCCAUGAUCUAAAGAGACAAAGGAAGUGCAGAAAAAGUUAAGAAGAUCUAGAACACAUGGAUGAAGAAAAGGAACAUUCAAGUGAUAGGCACAAGAUAGUGAUAUAAAUAGGGUACACAAAUAGGAGUGUGAGGUUCUAGUUCCAAAAUGCUUCUUUGUAACAAUCGGAAUUGAAAUUAAAAGUUGAUUAUUUGCUUUUUAGAUCUAGAAUUGGAACUAACAUUCAGUUUCAUACUAUAUUUUUUUAGUUUUGAUUCAAUUUUCAAUUUUGAUUUUAGUAUAGUUUGGAUUCAGUUCUUAAUUCUUACAAUAAAAUAUACAUAAUUAAAACUCUAAUUAAAAUUGAUUUUAUUAAUUUAUUUUCUAGUAAUGUGAAGAUAUAUAUAUUAUUUUAAUAGAACAAAUAAUAACUAAAUAAUUAAAUUAAGGCCAAUUUUUGUAAAAAACCUAAAACUUUUUGCCAAUUUGCAAUUUAAUCAAAAAAUUUAAAACUAUAUUUAAUUGUCCAAAUUUACAAUUAAACUUAUUUGCAAUUAUAUCCAGUUGAAAAUCUAGAUGGGGGAGUGUGUCUAAAGGUGGCAUACUAAUGGUUUUUUUAUUAUUUUUUUGAAAUGAUUUAGAUGAAAUCUAGACUAACUCUUUCCACCUAAGCUAACUACGGUUAAGUAUUUAAGACCUAAGUAAAUAAGAUUAUUAUUUCAAAUUAAGUCAAUAAAUUAGAUAGUUAAAAUCCUUAAUCCGUAAUACACUAAGAAUCUCUAAUGUUACUGUAUUUAUUAAAGCACGAUUUACGGUUCAACUAAAUUUGCAAUCCUAAACUCAUCAAAGGGAUAUGAGACAUGCACCCAAAUUAUCUUCUCAAAAUGGGUUUGCACUUUAGUUUCAUUAUAGACUAGUUUGGAGAGGUGUUUUUCUAGUUCCCUCUAUCUCCACUAGAGAGAUUACUUGAGUAUUGCAUUUUUUUCUUUAUCUCUACCUUAUAGGGCGUUCAAUUUGCUCAGCAUCUUUCACCAAAGAAGAAAAUCAUACUUGUUUCUCUCACUAAUAAUACCAUUCAAUUUUUCAUUGAUUUCUUGUAUCUUAUAAGCAAUAUCAUGACACAAACCAACUUCAAGCCAAGAAAAAGCAAAAGUAAAAAGAGCGGAAGAAAAAUCAAAACCUAUGAUUAGCCAUGAUAAUAGCAACAUAUUCUCACAUUUACAAAGACAAAGGAAAAAUACGUUCAGGAUUUAAUCACAUUAGUUUUGAGUUUAGGGAUUCUCAAUGUAGUAGGGAUUAGGGAUUCUUGAUGUAUUAUGGAUUUUAGCUGUCUAAUUUAUUUAUUUAAUUUCAAUAAUAACUCCAGGUACCUUCUUUAAUAGGUGUCAUUUGAGUCAUCUUAUAAUAAUAAGCCAUAUAUGUAUACCACCUCGGAUAGACACACUUUCCCAAAUUUAGAUUACCAAUUAAAUAUAAUUGAAAAUAAAUUUAUAAAUUUGGAUAAUUAAACCAAGUUGUAAAGUUUUAGAUUAAAUUAUAAGUUGGCUAAAAUUUUUUGAUUUUUCAUACCAAUUGACCUUAAUUAAUUAAAUUAUAUAUUUAAAAAUCUUUAAUAACUAACUAAUAUAUUGUAAUUAAUAAUAAUACAUUGUUAUUUUAUAUUGUUAGUAACUGUUUCACAGAUAUACCAUGGGUAAUAAUAAAAAUUAUAAAUAAACAUAUAUAAUUUUAUUAAUAUAACGAUCAUAUAUAUAUAGUAUAUUUAAAUAAUUAAUUGAUUAAAUUAUUUAAAUUACAUGGUUAGAAUCUUUCAUAACUAACUAAAAUAUUUAAAAAUUUUUUUCAACGAAUAACAUAACAUUCAUUGGUCGUUUAAAGAUAAGGCUAAGGGCAGAUACAUGAAAGAGUAUGUACAAUUAUAAGGCCGAAAUACAUAAAGAGAAAGAAUCUAAUCUAAUCCAAAUAUUUGGAACCCUAAAAACCCUAUGAGGAUGACCAAUACUACUUCUCCACUUGCUACUACCAAUACUACUUCUCCACUAAAACCUGUAGCCACCUGAGCCAUACAAUGACUCUAAGACUGACAAAUCACUAUAGUAAUCCAAAUAGGUCCUAGUAUAUACUCAAGCACCGAGAAAAGGGGAAAAAAAAUGUUCAAGCAACUCCAGUCAUAGAGGAAGUAGAGGAAAAGACAAAGUGAGAAAGAGAUGGAAGCUAUCGUAAGCCUUUAACCAAAUAUCUCAAUGGUUAAAGGAGGCUUCAACUAUCUCAAAAAGGUAGACAAAAGGGAUGAAACUAUUCUUUAAUAUGACCCAUUCGCAUCAUUACUGUGAGCCAUCUCCAAACCAUCUUCGCGAUGAGAAUCAAGAUGUAGCACAGAGUUGAUUUAGCCUCAAUCUCAAUCAACACAUGCAAAGAGGAAAGAGCCGCUGAAAAGAAUUGACGACAAGCCUUCAUGUUGCAAAAAGGAAAGGAUGGCCUUCUAUAAUCAAUUUGAGGAAUCCCUCACCAGGACCAACAAAAACCACUAGAACAACGGAUACAAUAUACUAGCCAAGGAAGAUCAAAUCUAAAGAAACCAAAACAUCAAACUGAUCGGACACAGAUGAAGCACCCUCGCUAAGCUCAGUUCGCUCGCUGGAGAAACAAGAAAACAAACACACAAAACUAUUGACAAACCCAUGAAGAAGGGGAGAAGCGAACCUAGGUAGGGGCGUGGAGAGCCAUCCCUACUUAAGAGGGAUAAGUACACAUGCAGAAGGGGAGAAGCGAACCUAAGUAGGGGCGUGGGGAGCCACCUCUACCUAAGAGGGAUAAGUACCCAUGUGCGGAGAGCCACCUCUACUUAAGAGGGAUAAGUACCCAUGCAGAAGGGGAGAAGCGAACCUAAGUAGGGGCAUGGAGAGCCACCCCUACCUAAGAGGGAUAAGGGCGACUGACAAUUCUUGUAAAAACCAAUGCCUAAUGCCUCAAGAACUCUCUCACCAACGGAGAGAAAAAAUCUCUCCCUAAGAAACCUUAACUCAAAUAUAUGAUUAUUUUAUAUUAUUAACAACUAUUUUCUAUACUUAUAACCAAUAAUAAUAAUAAUAAUAAUAAUUACAAGUACAUGUACACAUAUAUAAUUAAAAUUGAUUUUUAAUUUAUAUUCUAUUAACAUGAAGAUAAUAUAUAUAAUCUAUUUAGAUAGAACAAAUUAUAACAACUAAUUAAAAUAGUUAAAUUAUUUAUUUGGACACAAAUGAAACACUCUCGCUAAGCUCAGUUCGCUGGAGAAACAAGAAAAAUAAUCACAAAAAACUAUUUACAAAUCUACACAAAAGGGGAGGAGUGAACCUAUAUCUGGGUAGGGGUGUGGAGAGCUACCCUAUCUAGGAGGGACAAGGGCGACUGACAAUUCCAGCAAAAACCAAGUGCUACCGACAAGGGCGACUCACAAUUUGAUAAAAUAAAAGUAAAAAGAGGAAAACAUAAAAUAACUCUUUCAAAAUUCUUCUACUUAAAAAACUUUUAUUUUUUAUUUAUUUUUUUAUGUUCUUCGUAAAAAUAUCACUUAAAUUUUUAAUAAAAUAUUUAAUUUUAAAUGAUUAAGCAUACUGAUGAAUUUGCAUUAAAGAUAUGUUAAAGUAAAUAGAAUUUCAUUAGAACUUCGAACUAAAAUUGGGUUAAGAAGUAAAUUAAACUCAAAUUUUAUAUUGAUAAGAUUAUAUUAUUGAAGAAUUUUAAAAUAAAUAGAACUUCUGAGAAAAAAUAAAAUAAGUAGAACUUGGUUAUGAUUUGAAAACCAAAUUACAUUAAAAAUUUGUAUUAUCACUUAAGAAUUAAAAUUUUAAUUUUAAUAAUUUUGAAAAAAAAAAAAUUCUCUCAUUGCUAUACUAUAAAAAUAAUAAAUUAUAGUAUUACUCAACAUGUUUUGUACGUCAUUUUUAUUUAUUAUAAAUAUCAUUUAUUUUUUAUUAGUAAUAUUUAACAUUUUAUUAUUAUAAUAAAUUGUUUUCUUAUGAAAAAAACCAAUUUAUAAUAUUAAUAGAAUCUAAUGAAUAUCAACAAAAUAAAAUCCUAAUACUAUUACAACUAUUAAACAACUCAACAAUUAGAAUAUCAACUAUUAUUAAAAUUAUUUUUAAAUUUAAAGUCAAUGAUAAAUAAAUAAAUAAGUUAGGGAUAUAAUAGAUAAUUCUAAUAAUAAUAAAAAAUAUAUAAAUUUAUUGAUAAUAAUAAUUCAAUUAAAUUAAUAUUAAAAUUAUUAUUUUAUUUCUAAAUAUAAUAUAUUAUAAAAAAUUUUAAUUUUUAAUAAACUACUUAUUUUUAUAUACGAAUUCUUUUAUUUAAUUCAUUAUUUUUUUAAAAAUAUAAUUUAACUUACAAUAAAAAUUCAAUAAAUAGAAUUUAAAUGUUAAAAGACAUCUUUUAUAAUUAAAAUUUAAUCAAGAACUUCUUCAUUUAAUUUAAAUUUAAAUAGACUAAAACUUAAUUAAAUAAUUAAAUUAAAAAAUUUAAAUAAUAACAAAUUGUAAUUAUUUUAGAAAAAAAAUAGUUUAACUUACAAUAAAAUUUCAAUAUAAAUAAUUUAAAUAUUAAGAGAAUUUUUUAUGAUAUAAUUUAAUUUAAAUGUUAAAGAGAUUUCUUCAUUUAAUUUAGAUUUAAAUAGAAUAUUAAUAUAAUUAAAUAAUUAAAUUAAAAGAUUUUAAAAAUAACAAAAUUAUAAUUAACAAAAUAUAAUAAAGGCAAUUUAGAAAAUCUUAAUACUUUUAUAUAUAAUAUAGAUUAAUUGUGACUUUCUAAAUUAAAAUUUUAUAUUAAUAAAUUAUUUAAAAUUACAUGAUAUAAUAAAUAAUUAUAUAUAAUUUAUCAAAAGAUAAAUCAGAUAUCACCUAUGAAAUAUCAACUACAUAUUAGCUAUUAGUAAUAAUUAGUCUAUUCACAAAUUUAAUUCGGUAGUACGUACAUCUAAAUAAAUCUGAGAAAUUUCAAGUUCUAUUUUUUCAAUCUUCAAUUUCCAUUUAAAAAAAAAACAAUAAUUAGUAAUGGUAUUUAACACUUAAACUAAACAGGCCUUUAGUGUUUUACCAGUGCUUUAUUUUGCUUUAAAAUUCAAUUUUUUCGCAUCACCCAAUAAGCAAGUAUUAAGAAUUCUUUUUCUUCUACUUAGACUUUUAGGACACUCUUAGUAGGGAUUGGUCGAACCGGUUGUAAAAUGCCUCUCUUUAAGAAUAAAAAUUAAAAUCGAAAUUAAAAUUCAAUUUUAUGAGUUUUUUAGAAUCAAAGUGGAUCAAUAUUCAGUUUAAUUUUAGUUUGAUACUAUAUAAUUUCAAUAUCAAUUCGAUUCUAGUUUUAAUUGUUAUUUCUAUUUUAAUUUUAAUAUAGUUCAGUUUGAUUUUAAUUACUAUAGUAAAAUUUACAUUAUUAAAAUAUAAUUAAAAUAAAAUUUUUAUUAAUUUAUUUUCUAGUAAUGCAAAAAUAAUCCUUUCGUUUGGUAUGUAUUAUUUUACAAGAAAAAAAUUUAAAUGAAUUCUAUUGAAAAAAUUUUAAAUAAAUUUUUAUAAAAAAAUAAGAAGAUUAAUAUUAAAUUAAAUUAAAUUAAAUUUUUAAGAAAUUUUUAAUUACAAAAUAUAUAUACUAUUUAAAUAUAAUAAAUUAUGACCAACUAAUUAAAUUAGUUAAAUUAUAUAUUUAGAUGUGUUUAAUAACUAACUAAUACAUUGUAAUUAAUAAUAACACAUGGUUAUUUUAUAUUAUUAAUAAGUAUUUCAUAAAUAUAAAUGGAUAAUAAUAAUUAUUAUAAAUACACAUAUAUAAUUACAAUUGAUUAUAUUAAUAUUUCAUAUAUAAGCUUAAAGAUGGUGUAGGAUUAAAAAACAAUAAAUAAAUAAAAAGUAAAGUACAAAAAUCUUAUAGAAUUUUUUUUCUCUAAGCAUAUGAGAUAUCGUUGAUAAAGUCUGAAAGUUUUAAGAUUGUACAAAACCAAAUAAACAAAGAGUUAUUUAGGACUCAAUUAAAAAAAAAUCAAAGUAACACAAAAUUCUAAAAAACUCGACAAAGCAACUAACACAACCUAUUUAUUUUCUCCUUCUUAACAAGCUUUCGUCAAUAAAAGAAAACACAAUAAAAAAUUAUCUAUAAUCUCGUUUAGAAGGAAGGGAGCAUAAACUCAUAACUGAUUAAGGUGUAGAAAGCUAUCCCUGUUUAGGAGGGAUAGUGGCUGCCGCAAGAGAACUCUCAUACAGAAAAAAAAAAUUGUCUAAAACAAAAACCUCUCAUACAGAAAAAAAAAACUCUCUCUAAAAAAUUAAAGAGAGAAGUGGCCAAAUAUUUAUUUUAUAGAUACGAGAUUUAAAAAAAAAAAAGGAAAAAUAAAUUUAUACUUUACUGCAAACUCAUAGCUGCAAUAAGGUAUUAUAUAUAUAUAUAUAAUGUUAAUUUAUAUUAUGUUUUUGAAAUUUAGUAAAUAUUUAUAAUUUAAUUUUUAUUUUUCAAAUAGUAAAUAAUUUAACCUAUAAAUUUUUAAUUAAAAUAAUUAUUCUGUUAAAUUUACUAUUAAUCAAUUAUUUAUUGAAUAAAUCAAUCAAAUUAAAGGACUGACUUAUUAUAAAUAUUAAAAUUAUACAAGAUAAAUUAUUAUAAAUUAUUAAACAUAAAGGAGUUAAACUGUUGCAAAAAGUGAAAUUCAAAUGAGUAAAUUGUUAUAGUCUAACAAUAUAGUUUAAUAUAAUGACUAUUUUGUUAAUAAAAGAAAAUUUAAAAAUUAAAUUAUUUCAGCAGUAUUGCAUUAAAUAUUUUCUCUAUCCUAUUAAUAUAAAUAAUUUAAUUUAAAUAUUUGUAUUUAUAUUUUUUUAUUAUUUCAUAUAAAAAAUAUAUAAAUUUUAUUAAAAAAAAUUUGUUAAUUUGUGUCAAAUUCACUUAUUUUAAUAGAGUUGAGAAAAUAUUUAAUAUAAAGCUGAAUAAUAUAUUUUGAUAUAAAUUGGACGCUAAAAAAUUUAGAAGUUAAAGAUUUAGAGUUUAUAUAGUACAAAAAAUAUUUAAUAUAAAAUUAUUAUAAAAUAUCUUGACAUAUAUUCUUAAUUUAUAUAUUAGAAAUUAAGAAAAUUAUAAUUAAAAAGUUAAAAGUUUACUUGAUUUUUUUCAAAGACUAAUAGUAAAUUUGAGACUAAAUUAUUUAUUAUUUAAAAGCUAGGAAUUAAAUUGUAAUUUUUAUUAUAUUUUAAGAAUCAUAAUGUAAAUUUUAUAAGCUUACUGAAAUUUAAAGAAGGGUAAGCUUUUUUAUUUUUUAUUUUUACUUUUUGAAUGGUUACCGCAUUUAUAAGAUGCAAUAAUGGUUAUAAUAUCUUAUAGAUACGGUUUUAACCCAAAUCACUCUGAUUUGAAAAUAUUUUUCUCUUAAACUCUUAUAUGAAUUUUUUUUUCUUGCUUUGUGUAGAAACAAAGUACUGAUUUUUUUAUAAACACCCUUUUCUUUGAAACAAUUGAUAGAAGUUUGGUUACAAACUCUGUUGCAUUAUCAAAUCUUACCUAUAUGCUUUGCCACAAAUUCUUUUAACACCAUAAAUAUUAUUUUCUCUUAACAAAUAUAUCUAGAUUACUUUAGAAAAGUCAUCGAUAAUCAUCCACAUAUAUUUGAAACCAAAAUUGAAAUGAUAUUAUAGGGUUCCCAAAGAUCAAUAUGAAUAAAUUCAAAUACACAUUUAGUUGAUAUUCUAUUCCUUUUGAAAACUUGACACGGAGCAACUAGCAUUGGAUUUUAAGGCAAACUUGGAUCGAGAUUAAUUUUUGUAUUUUAAUUAUUAUUUUUGGAUAUUUUGGAUAUUUUCAUAAUUUUUCAUAUUAGGGUUUUGUUUCUAUUAUAAAUAGCUUCCUUUGGCUAUUAGAAACUCACUUUUCAAUCUUUGAGGAAUUUCAGUAAGACUUUUAGUCUUUUAUUCUAUCUUUUCUCUUAUUUCGUCUUAGCCAACGAUAUUGGUUGAAACUCCUGACGGAGUCUAAAUAGUCCUUUAUCAGAUUGGUAUCAGAGCAAAGUUCGACCAUGGUAGAUAACCAAGAGGCGCGACUUGCUGCGAUUGAGGCAUCCUUGGCAAAAUUGAGGGAGAUGAUCGGACAGCUGAACCUGCAACAGGGAAUCCACCAACCCGCCGCCGCCACACAUCCCCAUGUGGUCGCCAAUCCUAUGGCCGCCAAUCCUGUGGCCGCCAUUCCUGUGGCCGCCAAUCCUGUGGUCGUCAAUUCUAUGCCUGCAAAUCUCCAACAGAACUAUCAGGAAGGUUACAGGAUCAAGGUAGACCUUCAAAACUUUUCUAGUUCGUUAGAUGUUGAAUCUGUUCUUGAUUGGCUGGUAGAGGUUGAACGCUUCUUUGAAAUUAUGAAUGUGGAAGAGGAGCACAAGGUUCCAAUUGUGGCCUAUAAGUUGAAAGGGGUGCAGCAGCCUGGUGGAAUUCGAUUCAAAACGAACGCUAUCGGAGGAGGCUAGAGCCCAUACGAAACUGGGUGCUGAUGAAGCAGAUGUUUGAACAAUGGUUCUUUCCUAGCGAUCAUGCUCAGGUCUUAUAUAACCGGUAUCAUGACUGUGUACAAGGAAACCGAAGGGUGGAUGAGUAUACCGAGGAGUUUUUAAGGCUACAGGUGAGAUGUGAAAACUGUGAGAACGAGGCCCAACAGGUUGCUCAUUAUCAGAGGAGGCUGAAUCACGAAAUUCGUUGUAUGAUGGGAGUAGCAGCGAUUUUCACCUUGGCAGACGCUAUUGAGAUGGCAAAAAGGGCUGAAGAGCGUAUUGAUUGGCAGCCACGACAGCAGCAGUACAACCGAAAUUUCAAUUAUAGAAAUUCUAGUUCAACAGGGACGUAGCAAUAUAGAGGCAACUACAGCGGGCAGCCUUCUAAGGUUGUAAACUCUGGCAACCCUCUGAAUACCAUGGAAGAAAGGAGAGACAGUAAAGGCAAGGCAGUCACUACUACAAUAGACAAAGGAGGCAGGACCAAUCCUUAUCAGAAGCCAAUGGGAGACAUAUGUUACCGGUGCAGGCAAUCUAGUCAUCGAUUGAAUAAUUGUCCAGAACGUAGAGGAGUUAAUACUGAUAGCCGGUAGGUUAAUAUAGUUGAGCAGGUGGCUGAAACUGACGAGGAAGAGGAUGACGAUGACAGAUCUAUUGCUAGUUCUGAAGAUGGAGAGGUCACCUAUGUGGUGAAAAAGAUCUUGUGCUCAACAAAACAGGAGGAUGAGACACAAAGGAGGAAGAUUUUCCAGGCAAAGUGUUGAGUAGGAGAGACAAUUUGUAGGCUAAUUAUAGAUAGCUGCAGUUGUGAGAAUCUGAUAGCUAAGCAGUUGGUGGAAAAAUUACAGUUGCUUACACAGCCUCACCCCUCACCAUACAAAGUCGGAUGGAUUAAGGAAGGACCGACAAUUGAGGUUAACAGAAUCUGCAGCGUGCCUAUCUCGAUCGGUAAAUCUUAUACUGAACCUGUUAAUUGUGAUGUUGUGGAUAUGAAUUGCUGUGGCAUUUUGCUAGGUCGCCCGUGGCAAUUCGACGUUGAUGCUUUGCAUAAAGGGAAGGAGAAUUCAUACAUGUUCACGUGGAAUCAAAAGAAGAUUACUAUCUUACCUUCCGGUUCUGCGAAACAUUCUAAAGUGGAAGGGAAGACUGUUGUUGCUGUUUCCAAGGGAGUGCAGAGGCUAUCAGGCACAGUUGAGGAAUCUGAAAGCACACUGGCUUUAUUGGUGAGAGCAAAAGGUACAAUGGAGGAUGCACCAUCUUUAACACCACCCGUCAAAGAGCUGUUGAAGGAGUUUCCUAAGAUAGUGGAGGAAUCAUCCAAGCUUCCACCUCUGCGGAAUAUCCAAUAUCAGAUUGAUCUCAUUCCUGGAUCAAAACUACUGAAUCUGCCUCAUUACAAGAUGAGUCCAAAGGAGAGUGAAAUCCUCCAAGGCCAGGUGGAAUUUACUAACAACAGUGUUGUCCAUAGCUCCGCAAAGAUGUCACCGUUUGCAGUUGUGUACAGGAAAGUCUCAGCGCAUACAGUUGAUCUUAUUGCCCUUCCCACAGGUUCUCACAAUAGUAUUGCAGCAAGCAACUUGGGAAAGUAGCAUGUUGAUGUUUUCAAACAGAUACAACAGUGCCUUACAGAAGUCAAUGACAAAUAUAAAGCUACAGCUGAUAAACAUAGGUAUUUCAAGUUCUUCAAUAUCGGUAUUCAAGUUAUGGUGUAUUUACACAAGUAGCGUGGUGGAGGAUAGAAAAAGCUUGACGCUAAGAAGAUUGGUCCAUUCCAGAUCAUUUAGAAAAUCAAUGACAAUGCCUAUAUUCUUGACCUCCCACAUGAGAUGAAAAUUUCCAAGACAUUUAAUGUGAUAGAUCUAUUUCAGUACUACCCUGCUGAUGACAACUCGAGAUCGAGUUCUUUACAAGUGGAAGGGAAUGACCCGGAGCAACUAGCCUUGGAUUUUAAGGCAAACUUGGACCGGGGCUAAUUUUUGUAUUUUAAUUAUUAUUUUUGGAUAUUUUGGAUAUUUUUAUAAUUUUGCAUAUUAGGAUUUUGUUUCUAUUAUAAAUAGCCUCCUUUGGCUAUUAGAAACUCACUUUUCAAUCUUUGAGGAAUUUUAGUAAGACUUUUAGUCUUUCAUCCUAUCUUUUCUCUUAUUUCGUCUUAACCAACGAUAUUGGUUGAAACUCCUGACGGAUUCUAAAUAGUCCUUUAUCAAAACUAGUCUUAGCUGCUUUGUAAAAAUAAGCAUCACACACAUAAAGACUACAAUCUUGUGAACUUCUUUUAUGAUACAUGACCUAAACUAUUAUGCCACAAGUAAUACAAACUAGAUUGUCAGGAGUAAGUGCUUGAUAAGCAUGUGAGACAAAGUAGAUAGGAUAUUUAUAAUACUAUUAUAAAAAGUGGUUCUAAGCUACCGGUAAAAAAUUAUUGUAUUAUAUACUAAAAUUGUAGUUAUAAGUCAAUAAUAAUGAUUGAAAAUUCGUUGCAUCUAUAUCCGUUGUUGUGGCAUAAGAUAAUAAUGUGCUUAUUUUUCACAGUAGAUAAAAAGUGUGGCUAAAAUUAUAAUUUUAUUAAACAUAAAAAUAAAUCAUUUAUUAAAAUAUUUUAUUAUGUUUAUAGUGAAAAAUUAAAUAUUUUUUAUAAUAAUUUUAAACUGCUGUGAAUUGUUGUCUUAAUAAUAUUAAGACAAUAAUUUUAUAACUGCUACUAUAAUACUGCUGUAUAAACUCUAAAAUAUAGUAGUGAUAUUAUUAUAUUGCCUCGGUGACAUAAUUUUUGUUCACUUUAUCUUUUUAUAUAGAUUAAAAAAUGAUAGUUAUUAUAGUUAAAAGAUAAAUUUUUUUAUUAAUUUUCAAUUAUAUCCAUAUUUAAGUUUUAUUGAAAUGAUAAAAUCAUUAUUAAUAAUAUAUGCUUGAAUUAAAUGCUAGGAGAGAGUUUGAAUUAUUAUUUGAAAAAAAUAAUUAAUGAGGAAUUAUAUUGAAAAUAAGAUAAAAUUAAAUAGAAUUAUAAUGAUCAAUUUAUAAUAAUUAAUUUAUAUAUUAACCAUUAUGUAAAAAAAAAAAAAGAAAGUGAAUAAAAAUUUUGAAAUGGCAAAAAAUAGAAAAAUAAAAAAAAAUAAAACGAGAGGAGUAUUUGGUAGGUUAUAGCUAAAUGAUUUUUAUUUCAAACUUGUAUAGACCCUUCUACAACCUCCCAAUUGCUAACAUAUCUUUAGUUACUAGGUCUCGUAAUAUAUUGCUUUUGAAACUAGAGAUAUACAAAAUAUUUUUUCAAUUGUAUUUUGGGAUGUAGAAUGAUUGUGCCAAUGUGAGUAACUGUCUUAGUUGCAUUUUCUAGCUUCUUACAUAUUGCAACAUAGACUAAGCUAUCACACAAAAAUUACAUAUUAUGUUUUGUAUUUUUUCUUAGAUCCUCAAUUUAUGGGAAAAUGAAAAAAAAAAAAGAAAAAACAAACCACAAUUAGUCGCUUCUCCACAAGAGCAGAGUAAGAAUCAUGACGAUUAACAUUAUUGAAGUUCAGUGUAUUAUUUAUCUUCUAUAAGGAGUUUCAAGUACCCCUAUAAUUAUCGAUUCUAUUGCACUAUAACAACUAGGUAGCCUUACAUAUUGCUACGAACCCUAUUUUCCAUGAGCGAAUGAAAGCAUCUAGAAAUUAAUUGCUAUGUGGUUAGUCAUCAAUUAUGAAAGGGCUUCAUUUUCAUUUUAAAUGUCUUUUCUUGCCUUCAAGUGGCAGAUUUGUUCACCAAACACCGGGAGAUGACUACAUUUCCCUCUCUUUUGUUUAAGAUGAGAUUAUGCACAGUUAAGGCAAAUCCAUCUUGAGGGGAUAAUAUUGCAUAAAAAAACUUGGAAAAGGUGUGAAUUAGGGCUAUGCAAUAGAUCGAUUCGGUUCCGAACCGAACCGAAUUGAAAAAACCGAAAACCAAAUUAUACAAAUAUUAAAAACUGAAAAAACCAAUUACAAAAAUAUAACUGAACUGAAUCAAACCAAUAAAAAUCGGUUCGGUUCGGUUACUUCAAACCGAAAUCUGUAAAUUUUUUUAAUUUUCUGCUUCUAAUUUCGGUAAAAUAAUUCAAUAAAUAUUUCACAUAAAUUUACUAAUAAAUAUUGUCUGAAUACAUAAUGAUAAUACUUAAAAAAAUCCAUAUAAAUCCAUGUAAAAUUUAAAAAUAUAUAUAAAAUCAGUGUUCCAUAUAAUAAAAGUAUGUAUAAAAUCGGUUAUUCGGUUUAUCGGUUAUUUAACACGUUUAAACCGAACCGAAUCAAAAACUGAAUAAACUGAAAAAUAUUAAUCGAACCGAACCUAACCUUCCGAUUAAUUGAACCAUUAAAUCAAAAUUAAUCGGUUUGAUUUGAUUUUUCGGUUCAAACCGAUUUAUGCUCUCCCCUAGUGUGAAUGGAAGAAACAUACGAGAAGCUAUCAGAAGACACCAUUGAGACCAUGCAUUUUGAAAAUGUGUAGAAUCUUUUUUGGUUAUACUAAGCUAUAAAUUAGUUACAUAAGGUUUUAGUUUUCUCGCUUCUCUUUACUUGUGUAUAUAAUGCAACAUUCAAUCAUUAAUUUGAGAUUCUCUAUAUUUUUUACUAAUUAUAAAUUUACAUUUUAUAAUUUCUCUACACAAAUCUAUAGUAGCUAUUAUCAUAAAACCUUAUAUAAUAGCAAAAAUCUUCUCUAGGAAUAACAUAUGCCACUGCUAACUUUUUAUAUUUAAUUAACAUUACUUUCUCUCAUUUUACUAGGAAGAAACUUUUAAGUUUUCAUUCCUACUUUUUUUUUUCUUACUCUUUUCUUCAUCUUUUUUUGCUUUUUUCUUUUUUUUUUUCUCCUUUUCCUUUUUUCCUUCUUUCAUUUUUUGGCAUGUCUUAAUACAAUUAUUUAUGAUAAAUUGCAACUUUUCUUUCCUUGCUCAAUCUAAAAUUUUCUAGCUAAGACAUGUUCUAAUCUAUUAUACUUUAUCUCGUCUUGCCCUAACUAAAUUUAAUUAUAUCGGUGUCCUACUAGCAAAGAACGUGCCCUAUUAAAAGUCAUCAAGAUGACCAUCUUACUUGAUAUAGCAAUUACUUCCAUACAAAAAGGAUAUGAGCUUGUCCCAACCAAAGUGUCAUAUGCUUAGAAUAAUAUAGAAAACCUUAUAGACUUUUAUAGCCUUUAUUCACCUUUAAUAAAGAGAAGAAUUAUGGCAUUGAAAUUUUGAACUGUUCGUUUAGCUUUUAAAUAUUUGAUCAAUUUAGACUAUUCAGCGACAAUACUUUUAAGAGAUUACAUAUGAUUGCAAUUAUACAUAUAUCUCUUCUAAGAGCACAAACCUUUUUUUUAAAUUAAAAUUACUAACUUCUAUAGCAACCAUAGGUCGAAGAAAUAUAACUUGAGAAAUACACAUUGAUUGAACUAUUUUUAUGUAAUUCUUCACCUAUUUUGGAAGAAGUGCAAAAGAGGUUCAAUUUUUAGAUAAAAGGAAAACAAAUACAAGAGAAAGAGUAAGGUAUAAGAUUUCAUGGAAAAUGCGCUACAAAUUCAAUAAUAUAAAAUUAUAAAAAGAAAGUCCUUUUACAUAUGCCCCUUGACACAAUGGACUAAGUUGUCAAGGGUGGUAAUAAAACGUAUAUUGCUUCAGAAAGAUACUUGGAACAUCAUCCUCUACUCUAUUAUUAAGCUCUUGAAACUUUUGCAUUGAAGUAAUUAAUAGAUCUCAAUUCUAACUUAGAUUAUAUGGCAUUCAAGGAUGCUUCAGGUAUUGACUUAUUAGCUUCCUUACUAACCUCUUGGGUUAUAAUGACAUUCACUGGUAGGAAAGGUUAAGGUGGGAUAACCAUUUCAGGAGGAUUGGCUAGACAAACUAAGCCUUCACUAGCUCUAGCUAUAAUUACUUCAGGUGGUUUGUUUGAUAUUGCCUUCUCUUGGUAUCUCAAGAAUUUAGAUGCCAACAACUUGGUCACUUCAUCCUUAAACUAUUUACAACUCCUAAAGUCAUGCCCACGGGCUCCCAUAUGGAAAGUGCAACUUAGUUCCUCUUGAGGGUCAUCAAAAUCAUUCCUCAAGACUCUUAGAACCAGACUAAAAUAUCCAUCUUUUACUCUUAUUUGAAGAAUUUCAUUUCAAUGAUCAACAAAUUACUCAACCUCACAAAUUAGGUCAUCUCCUUCCUUUCUAUAACAUUCAGGACAUUGGUAUUGGCUUCAUUACCAUGAUUUGGAAAGGGAUUGGUUAAGACAUUAGGGGUUGAGUUGUUUGCUUCUAUCUUUAGCCACCCGUUUCCAAUAAGCACAUUUACGCUAGAUUGCAGUGUGGUGCAAUUAUCAGUGGAUUGACCAAUUCCACCUCCAUGGAAUUCAUAUUAAGCUUUGGGGUUGUACCACCUAAGGUAUAGAGGUUACACUGGAUCCCACCGAAUAGGGACAAUCUGGUUGAUACUCCAUAAAUAAUGAUAAUCGCGCUUAGAGAUAUUGGAAGAGAAGGUUAAGUUUUCUGGUAUUGGAUUCACAUGGCCAUUUUGAGGAGUCGGUGCUUGAAUAAUUGGGUUGGAUAGGGAUGGUGGUCAAGGGACAUAUACAUUUUGGGAUUAUGAAAUUUGGAGAUAAGGAUUGUAACAGCCCGGAAACCGAACUGCUACUGGCGCUAGGAUCCAGAUCGACUUAAGGUCGCCGGGACCCGUAGCAAGCCUGCUAUACUCUCUAUGUACCUGUGAAAUCCCAUACAUGAUCAUACAUUUUCUGUAAAAAUUAAAACUUUGCUCUGUACCAAGGCUCAACCUGUGCAUGCACUAUCUCUGUACUAUAAAACCCCAACUAGAGCUCUCAUCAUUGCCCUAGGCGGGUCAAACUCAUACUAUGUUAAGCCUGGUUUUUCAUACAUAUAAUAAAAAUAUUUACAUAAACAGACCAUGUAUACAAAAGGGGAUUACAACACAUAUAGGUCAAGCACCAUGCUAUACACUGUACAAUACUAGACAACCCUUUACAAUAUUACAUGUCCACACUAUGCUAUUACAAAACUCUUUACUCUUUCUGUGCCCUGCUGAACUUCCCCCUGAACUCUGAACCUGCAAGACUGGGGUUAGGGGAGAGGGGUGAGCUACUAUAGCCCAGUGAGUAGAACAAAUAAAACAUGUUAAUAAAACAUGCUCUCAUGGAAUGCAUCACAUCACAAGUAAUCACCUUUCGGACGGACUGAAACAAAAAUCCCUUCGAACUGUGCCCGGCCCGCGAUGGAGCUCCUCAGGACUUGAUAAUACAAACAAUACUUUUUUUUUUCUGUGCCCGGCCCUUCGGGCUCCUCAGAACUUUAUAUGCCCGGCCCUCAAAGGGGCUCCUCAGGACUUUAUAGAAGGGCUAAUGAAUCCACUCUAUGUCCGUCCGCAAAUACAAUCAAUAAUGCAAUGCACAUCUUAGUGAAUUCUAAUGCAAUCAACCUAUUGCAUAUCAUGAUGCAUGGCACAUGCUAAAGACAUUUGGUUUCUCAUAUUAAAAGAUUAAGGUUAGUUCCACUCACCUCUGGCUAACUCUGAACUGACUCUGCAGAUUAUGAAGCAGUGCUCACUGCUGGUCCCUUUGGUUCCUCUGGUCCGUUCCUACAUAGGUGGACUAAAAUGAGGGACCAAACUAACUCAAGAACAACUCUAUAAAACUCCCCAAAAGCCCCCUAAAACAUCCUAAAACAAUCAUAUAAAAUAUGCAAAAGAAAACUGGACAGGGCACUUUCAGCGGCAGGUUCGGCGGCCAAAAUUCCUGUCCAGAGACGAAACUCAUGCAUGUUCGGCGGCACCUUCGGCUGCCGAAGGUCCCGUCCAGAGACGAAACUCCAACCUUCGGCGGCCGAAACCCCCUCACAGAGCCGAAAGUCUAAACUUUCGGGGGCAAGCUUAGGCAGCCGAAACAGCCUCCACAAGGGGUUCGGCGGCCGAACCUGGGUUCUCCUUUUAGGCAGAACCUUGCCCUGCUUCAUGCAAAACUCCUCCAAACUCACUCAACAUGCAACCAACAACUCCUCAACAAGCAUAUACCCAAGUACAUGCACAAAGGGGUCCAAAACUAACUUAAAACCCCAUCAAACAUAACAACACAUCAUCUAAACAUGCUUUUACACUAAAACAACAAACACAUCAACUUAACCUAAUCAUGCAUCUCUACCAUAAAACUUCCAUAAAACCCUCAUAAAACAUCAAAGAAGCUAAGGAUCUACACUUACCUCUUAAAGAUCUUGAGGAUAGGUGAUCCUAACGUGGAGAUAUGGAGAAAUCCACUCUCAAAGUCUCCAAGCUUCCAAACUUAGGUCUUUUGCUCAAAAACUUCAAAACAACAUAAAAACUCAUCAAAACUUUGCAUGAUUUGAGAAAACAUGAAAAUCACCCAAGGAAGAUCAUGGUCUCACCUCUGCUCGUGCAAAUGGAAAGAAGAUCUUAUCCAUUCACCGACCUAGGGCCUUUUAUAGGUGGCUGGCCAGACCACCUUCGGCGGCCAAACGUGAAACCGAAUGCCAUGCAUGUUCGGCGGCCGAAACUCACUUUCGGCGGCCGAACCUGGCUUUUCUCCCUUGGUUCUUUUCUUUCAAAAACUCAUUUCCUUAACACUUUAAAAUAUUAAAACUCAUGAAAAACAUACAAAAACAUAACUUUUACCCUUCUAGAGGAUCAUGACAUUCAAAAUUCCACCGGACGGUAGGAAUUCCGAUGCUAGACUCCAGCCGGGUAUUACAUUCUCCCCCCCUCAAGAACAUUCGUCCCCAAAUGUUCCUCAAACAACUAAACACAUAAACACAUAGAAAGGAGGAAAACUAACCUCAAAACAGAUAUGGAUAUUGCUGGAGCAUGGACUCUCGCGUCUCCCAGGUGCACUCUUCUAGGUUAUGGUGGUUCCACAGGACUUUCACCAUCGGGAUCUCCUUGUUUCUCAACUUUCUGAUUUGAGUGUCAAUGAUCCACACUGGCUGCUCCACAUAGGUGAGAUCUUCAAGGAUCUCUACAUCUGGCUCACUGAGAACCUUACCCGGAUCUGACACAAACUUUCGUAGCAUAGAAACAUGGAAAACCGGAUGGAUUUUUUCCAUAGAAGCGGGUAAAUCCAGCUUAUACGACACAUUCCCGAUCUUCUGCAAGAUCUCAAAGGGACCAAUGUACUGUGGAGCUAACUUACCCUUCUUUCCAAAACGAACCACUCCUUUCAUUGGGGACACCUUCAGCAAUACCAUAUCACCCUCCUGAAACUCUAUCUGCUUCCUGCGGAUAUCUGCAUAGCUCUUCUGCCUGCUCACAGCAGUUUUGAUCCUCUCUCUGAUAAUGGGCACCAACCUGCUGGUAAUCUCUACUAACUCUGGCCCUGCAAGAGCCUUCUCUCCUAUCUCUUCCCAGCAAACAGGUGUUCUGCACUUCCUCCCAUACAGAGCUUCAUAAGGGGCCAUCCCUAUGCUAGCAUGAUGGCUGUUAUUGUAGGCAAACUCCACCAAAGGUAGAUGCUGCCUCCAAGAACCGCCAAAGUCUAACACACACACAUUCUAAGCAUAUCCUCUAUGGUCUGGAUGGUCCUCUCUGAUUGUCCGUCCGUCUGUGGAAGGAAAGCAGUGCUGAAAUUCAACCUUGUGCCCAUAGUAUUUUGCAGACUCCGCCAAAACCUGGAGGUGAACUGAGGUCCUCUAUCUGAUACUAUUGACACUGGAACCCCAUGCAACCUUACUAUCUCUUCCACAUAGACCUGCGCUAACUUGUCCACAGAGUAGGUACUCCUGACUGGUAUGAAGUGAGCAGAUUUAGUUAGUCUAUCUACAAUCACCCAUAUGGAGUCUAGUCUGUGGGACGUCGCCGGUAACCCCACUACAAAAUCCAUAGCUAUGUUCUCCCAUUUCCAUUCCGGAAUCGGCAGUGGGUUAAGCAUUCCAACCGGCUUCUGAUGUUCUAGCUUCACCCUUUGACAUAUCUCGCAGGCUGACACAAACUGUGCCACUUCUCUCUUCAUAGCUGGCCACCAAUACACUCUUCUCAGGUCUUGAUACAUCUUGGUGGCUCCAGGGUGAACGCUAUACCUAGCAUUAUGAGCUUCCCUCAUAAUGUCUCCCUUUAAACUGAUGUCAUCUGGUACACAUAGUCUGUUCCCGUGGUGAAGAAUCCCUUUGCUGUCAAAUCUAAACUCUGCACUAUUGCUUGACUGAACAGUCCUGGCAAUUCUGACCAACUCUGGGUCCUCGUGCUGUUUCUGAGCUACUUGCUCCAGAAACACGGGAGUCACUCUCAUCUAUGCCAGCAAAGCACCUGUACCAGACAACUCUAACUGUAGCCCUUCUUCAAAGAGCCUAUACAACUCCAGCACCACUGGUCGUCUCUCUGCUGCUACAUGGGACAAACUGCCAAGUGAUUUCCGGCUUAAGGCAUCAGCUACAACAUUAGCCUUACCCAGAUGGUACUGGAUUUUGCAAUCAUAAUCACUGAGCAAUUCUACCCAUCGUCUCUGCCUCAAAUUCAGCUCUCUCUGACUCAAGAUGUACUGUAAACUCUUAUGAUCUGUAAAGAUCUCAAAUUUAACCCCAUACAGGUAAUGCCUCCACAUCUUGAGUGCAAAGAUAACUGCUGCCAUCUCAAGAUCGUGUGUAGGAUAGUUCAACUCGUGCUUCUUCAGCUGUCUAGAAGCAUAAGCUAUCACUCUAUUAUUCUGCAUUAACACACAACCCAAUCCCACUCGGAAUGCAUCACAGAACACUGAAAUCCUCAUUACUGUCUGGCAUAGCUAACACUGGUGCUGAUGUUAAUCUUUUCUUUAGCUCUUCAAAACUCUCUUCACACUGAUCUGACCAUACGAACUUCUGGUUCUUCCUGGUCAGUCUGGUCAUAGGAGCAGCUAUCUUCGAGAAGUCCUGUACGAACCUCCUGUAGUAACCUGCCAAACCCAAAAAGCUUUUAAUCUCUAUCACUGUGGUGGGUCUGGGCCAGUUAGCUACAGCUUCUAUCUUCUUGGGGUCUACCUCAAUACCCUCUGUUGAUACUAAAUGCCCCAAGAAUGAAAUGCUCCUCAACCAGAACUCGCACUUAGAGAACUUGGCAUACAAGCCAUGCUCUUUCAGAGUCUGCAGAACUGUCCUCAGAUGAUGGACAUGCUCCUCUGCAUCUCUGGAAUACACUAAGAUAUCAUCAAUGAAGACAAUAACAAAGUGAUCCAGAUACUCACUGAAAACUCUGUUCAUGAGAUCCAUGAAUGCUGCAGGGGCGUUAGUCAACCCGAACGGCAUCACCAAGAACUCAUAAUGCCCAUAUCUGGUCCUGAAAGCUGUCUUAGGUACAUCUUCCUCUCUGACUCUCAGCUGGUGAUACCCGGAUCUCAGAUCUAUUUUAGAGAAACAACCUGCUCCAGCUAGCUGGUCAAAUAGAUCGUCGAUCCUAGGUAGGGGAUACUUAUUCUUGGUAGUGACUUUGUUCAACUGUCUGUAGUCGAUACAAAGCCGAAGAGAUCCAUCCUUCUUUCUAACAAAAAGCACUAGAGCACCCCAAGGUGAGGUACUUGGGCGGAUGAAACCCUUGUCUACCAACUCUUGCAACUGCUCUUUCAGUUCCUUUAACUCUGCUGGUGCCAUCCUGUAGGGAGGGAUAGAGAUCGGUCUGGUACCAGGCAGCAACUCUAUUUCAAACUCUAUCUCCCUAUCAGAUGGCAGUCCUGGAAGCUCGUCUGGGAACACAUCUGGAAACUCUCUAACUAUUGACACUGAAGCUGGUUCCCUAACCUGUCUGUCUAGCUCUCUCACAUGAGCUAGAAACCCCUGACAACCCCUCCUAAGCAACCUACGAGCCUGAAGGGCUGAUAUCAAACCUCUAGGCGUUCCCCUCCUAUCUCUUCUGAAGACACACUCUGACCCAUCCAGAUCUCUGAGACUAACUACCUUGUCUCUACAGUCCAAAGUAGCACUGUAUGUAGAUAGCCAAUUCAUCCCUAGAAUGACAUCAAAAUCUGUCAAAUCUAGAACCACAAGGUCAGUUGGAAGGCAUCUACCCUCUAUAAACACUGGACUGAAAUGGCAGACUGACUCUGCCACUGAUGGGUCACACUUGGGUCCACUGACCCAGAGAGGACACUCUAACCCAGAGACUAUCAAACCCAAUCUCUCUACGGCUCUAGAAGCAAUGAAGGAAUGGGAAGCACCAGGGUCCAUCAAAGCAUACACAUCCGAACAACCAAUGAUGAGAUUACCUGACACCACUAUGUUCGACGUGUUAGCCUCCUCUUGUGUCACAGUGAAGAUCCGUGCUGGGGCUGUUGGACCUCCACUUCGGGAACCUGCUGCUGAAGAAGAGGCUGACCCUCUUCCUCUACCUCUGCCACUACUCUGAGGCAUAGCUGAAGUUACUGGCUGAGCCAUACUGCCAGAAGUCAUCUGCUGGGAUGGUGCCAUCGAGGUCGCUUUAGGACCUACGAGCCCCUCAUGGAAGAAGUGGAUAAGUAACUUAUCAUCAUCUGUAAUUGCUGACAUCUUUGCUAUGUAUGUUUCUAAAUGGAUCUGAGAGGUUGAUGUCCUGAUAUACUUUUCAAACUCAUAAACUUUGAACUUUCAAGGAGCAAUCGCAUUAAGGACCAAUCACAAAGAUGACACGUCAACUGACCCAUACAUAUUCAAACCUUCAAUGGCUCUUAAUCAAUCCUUAAUUGCUGAAAUUUUUUCCUCCUCUAUCUUACUUUUUUCCUUUGUCCACUAUUGGGGGUCCACAUAACGUCUUAUUGACCAUUGGAUACUGAGGGUUGGUCAAGUGAGGAGUUGAUAUAGUAGGAUGAAGGAGAAAUAUUGGAGUAAUGGUGGGUAUGAUGUAGUCUUAUAAAGUAGCCUAGUAAAAAGGAGGAAUGUCAAUUUAGGGCAUAAUCUAAGUAAAAAUAUAGCCUAAAAAAGGAAUCAAGAUGUUUAAAAUAGGCUAAAAGGUGAGUGGUAUAACAACAGAGGUACCAACUUGUUCAAUUAUAACUAAUCUUGGCACAUAAGCUUGCAUAGUAUACCGUGGAUGAGAUUAGGUUGAGAGAUUGCAUGCUGUAGACAUAUCUGACUGGAUAAGAGUAUCCUCUUGUUCUUAGGCCUCAUUCAUAGGGAGUUUUUCCCAUUUCUUUAAUCAUCUUCGAUAGCUCAACUACUCUUCCCUUUAAUUUUGAAUAUCUAUUAUAAAUGAUAUAAUAUUUAAAUAAUCAUCAUUUUUUACCACAAAUCAAGAGGCAUUACACUUAUCAUUAUGAAUUUUGCAAUGAUACGUAAGAGUUAGGGAGAAGAAGAAUUGUCCUAGUAAGGAACAAUCCUAAAUUUGACGACUUAGCUACCUAUGAGAUGAUUCUAUCCUUAAAGGGUGGAUAACUAGGGUCUUUAUUUAGGUAUAGAGUUUCGAUUAAAGUUCUAAUUUACUAAGAUUGCAAAAGUUCCAAAACUUCCCUACUCUAAACCAUAAAGUUUUUUCCCCACUAUGAUACUAAUGGAAACCAUGGUUGGCAAAUAUAUGAAAUAAGUUUUGAUCUGAAAGCAAGUUUAUCUUUCUUUGAUUUACUUGAAUCACUUCUUUAGAAUUCUUCCUUUUUGUUCCUUUGUUACUGUUAAUCUUAAUUUUUAUAUACUUUUUAAGCACAUUUUGCAUCCAUUUUGCUCAUGUAAAUUAUUAUUUUUACUUAUUUAUUUGAUAUUUUUAGUAAUUUUAAUUAGCUUUUAUAAAUUAGUAUUUUAUAUAUAUUUUGCCCUUAUUUUAUAGGAAAAAGGCAUUUCAAUUGGGUUCUUGAAAAACAUUAAUAUAGAAUGGUAGAAAGUUGCAUAAGCAGCAAUACGAUUAUAUCACAACUUAUGUCAGUCAAGCUGACAACUCAUUUUAUGUGCAGAAAAUUAGUAAUUUAGAGUAGUAACAAAUGACAGUAAAAAAACUUUUGUUAUGGCAAUCUUUUAGGGUAUAUAAAUAGUUUUUGUUUUUUUUUUUUACUUUGAAAAAUGGGAGAAGACCCUAGAAUAAAGAAAGGUGCAACCACUUACCUUUCUCUCCCCAUUUUCCACCAUUUUCACCUUCUUCUUCCUCAUUUCACGUGGAGAACAAAAGGGAGCAGCUACAACUUCACUGAUGGAGACUUUUUGGGCAUGGAUCUUUAUCAUUUGAAGAGUUCUUCAUUUGAGUUUUUCUUCUCCUUUAUUAAUUUUAUGUCUUGUUUGUUUUAUUUUGAGAUUUUCUUUGUAAAUAACAUGAUUAGUGAGUAGAUUUUUAGAUUUCAAAGAAUGGAUAUGUAAUACUCUAUUUUAAUCUUGGAUUUGAAGUAAUUUCUAUUAAUGGGUUUGAGCUAAUUUCUAAUUUUGAUUUUGGUAUUUGAUCUUGAUUUUUUUUUUCUUGUGCUUUAAUUUCUUGUUGUGUGUUUGGACAACCAAAGUAUUGGUUUAAUCAUUAAUUGAUGUGUUGAAAGAUGAAAAUUAAUGGUGGAAAACUGAGGAUUAGAGCUUAUAUUCUUGAAUUCAAGAAAUUGAUUAGAGGUAUGAGAGGGUUUCAAAAUUAAUUAAAGGACUUAAUGGGUUUUUAUUAAAUUAAGAGCUACGAAAGUAGAAAUUAAUUUAAUUAAGGCACAAUCUUGAUAUCUUGAAAGAGAAUUAAGAUUAUUUUAGAAUUAAUUUUUUCAAGCAAUAGAAUACCUAUGAAUUGAUAUAAAUUGAAGAAAAUCCGAAUUAAUUGGAGUAUGAAUCCCAAAGGGCUAAAAUCAUCUUUUUAUAUUUGUUUUUAAUCUUAGUUAAUUGUUAAUUUUAGUUAAUUUUAAAUUAAUUUACCAUUGCUUAAUUUAAUUGAUUUUAAUUGAUAGUUAUUUUCACAUACUAGUUUAUAGUUAGUUAGCUUAAUUGCUAUCUCUCAUUAAUUUGUGUUUAAUUUGCUCAAUUUUUUAACUUUUUUUGAAAUCUACUCAAUUUUUUAACUUAAUUAGUUAAUUUUAGCAUCAAAUUGAUUAGUCCAAGUAAUUGUUACAAUCACUUAAAUACUAAUUAUCUGUGAAAAUGAUUGCGGUAUCACAACAGUUACCUUUGUUAUUUUAUCAUAUUCGAGAGUAAAUUUAUUUUCAUGAAUACAUCAAUAUUUUUCUAUACCUAAAAGUUUUAUAAGAAAGUUUAGUGAUUAUGACAUCAACGUAGUUUUACUUUUAAAUCUUUAAGUUUUGAAACUAAAACUUGAAAUUCAUGGGGUUUUUAGUUUUCAAUAUUAUUAAAAAAAAAUUUAAAAUUUUAGAUUUCAGCUAAUAAUAUUUAUCAAAUAAGAUUUGACUGUCUAUAUGGCGGUCAAACUCCAUGUACCGUCUAUUACACAAGUAUCCGCUACUAUUUUUGAGAGUCUAUCCACGGCAGAAUUUUUUUAAAUAUUAUUAUUAUUAUUAUUAUUAUUAUUAUUAUUAUUAUUAUUAUUAUUAUUAUUAUUAAUUUUUAACAUUUAAAUUAAUAAAAUUAAAGUAUAUUAUUAUAAUAUAAUUAAAUAUUUUAUAAUAAAUAUAAUAAAAUAUAUUUUUAUUAUAAUAUAUAAUAAAUUAAAUAUAUUUUUUAUUAAAAUUAAAUGUAAUAUAAAAUAUAUUUAAUACUAUACUAUAAAUUAUAAAUUUAUUAUAUUUAAUUUUUUUAAAUAUUCUUAAAGCUAUAUUGUAAAAAACAAAAGAAUAUGUUUUUUGGUAGUGUAUAAUUUUAGUAUUAUAAAUAAAUUUCAGGUAAAAAAAAUAAUUUCUUACAACAAUUUAUUACAAACUGAUUCAUUUAAAUUUUAAUAUAAUAAAUUGCCAGUUUUUUAUACAGUUUAUAUAUAUAUAUAUAUAUAUAUAUAUAUAUAUUUAUAUAUAUAUUUUAAAUUAAGAAUUAAAAAUUAAAAGAAUAGAAUAUGAAACCUCUUAUAUUUAUUCAAAUACACUUAUUAUCCAAUUAAAUCUACUAAUGUCUUUAUAUAUUUUUUUAUAUAUGUAUAUUGUACGGUAAUCAGGGACGGAGGGAGGGUACGGCAAGGGGCAUGUGCCGUACCGGCGAUUGAAAAAUACUUUGGAGGGGAUGAAGGUGCUGCAGCGGCGCAGUCAGUAGUGUCACAGUAGUACGCAGCAGUGUCCUACUAAAAAGAAGUUCCUGACUCCGCCACUGACGGUAACAAUUUCAUAACAUAUUUUAUUAUAUAAUAAUAAAAAAAUAUCUUUUAUUUUUUAUGAUAAAGCUGAUGAUGAUGGAGAGAGUAUAUUUCAAAUAAUAAAGGAUAUAAUAAAAAAAUAUUUAAUUCAUCGUUUUCAUGUCUACUUUUGUCAGAAAAAAUUCUAUUUUAUUUAUUAUGAAUAUGCAUAAAUGCAGACUUCAUAAUAUUAUAAAAAGAAUUCAACCGGUUAUCAAUAAAUAUACCAUUGAUUUUAUUUAAUCAGUGUUACAAUAUUAAUAUAUAAAAAAUAAAAUAUUAUUUAUUAUAAAAAUUUAUAUUAUAAAUAUUAUCAAUUUAAUAUAAUAUAAUAAUUUCCUUUUAAAAAAAUAUAAUAUAAUAGGGGAAGCUAGCGCACGCAACAACUAGUUCAAUUGACUAUUAUGUUAUUAAGGCUUUUAUUUUAUUCUUUACUGGUACGUGACGUUGUCAUCCAAGUCUCCUCUACGGCAGAUGGUGCUAUUGCCGGAUUAAGGAAGUAUGGUUUUCCAGUCGAUAUACCAGAAAAGUGGGGUGUAAGAAUUAAAAGUUAUUAUUUAUAAGCAAUUGAUAAAGAUAAUUUAAAAUAACAUUAAAUAAAACUAAAGUUCUUUGAUACUCACGGCAAUCACAAUACUCGUUAUGAUUAACAAUAUGAUAAUUAUAUAGUUCCCUACCUUCACUAAUUAAUUCAUUUCUAAAGUUUAAUACUUCUUGUUGCUUAGUAAGAUCUAUUAAAACUAAUUUUCUAAUAGCAGAUAAUAUAUUAUCAGACAUAUAGACUUACCAUAUUAUCCUCGAUUUCAAACUCUUUUCCCCAACCGGAUGGAACUAUUUGUGAAAAUGGAGUGUCGGCAGACUCUGGUUUUGUGUACCAGACGUAAUAAUCGUACUUUCCAGACGGCUCUCCGAGUAGAUCUUUCUAACCGAUUAAUUCGUUGACGGAAAAGUUUCGGUUUCGGUAGAUUUUUGCAGUUUCUGAUCUAAGAGAAAGUUGAGAUAAACUUUUGCCAAGCGAUCGAGACUCAAAUUUUUGAAAAGUAUUUUUCAUUCGAUAACAAGAAGUUGAAGUUUUAAAGAGAAACAAAAGCUUAUAGAGAUUUUUCGGAUGCUCCCGAGAGAGCUUCUAACCUCUAUUUAUAUCAACUUGCUGACUAAGUUGAUAGAUUCGAUCUUAUCUAGAUAAUCUACAACAACCAAUAUUUACUAGACAUGUGGACUUAACGAGAUAAAGCAAAGAUUCCCUCAAGAUAAGAGAUAGUGCGGGUACGCUUUGGGCCCCAUCGUCCACUAUCAUCUUUAUCUAACAGCUGGAAUCAACUACAGUACAGCAAUUAUUUACAGGUAGUGUAGUUUAACGUCAUUGCGGACGUCAGAAGGCCUCUUUUAUGGCCAUGUGGUCUCAUCUGGUUCAUCCGGGUCCUGACUGUCUUGGUAAAGUGAGUCUGAUAGUAGGUCAUCCUCAUCUUCACUACUUUCUUUUGCUCUUUUAAAUUUUGUCUUUGAGCACUCUCCCUUUUCUGGAGUCUUGCUCUUUGCAGUAGUUGUAUCUGACAGUUCUUCCAGGGCCAAUGACAGUCUUUGUUUUAACUCUUCUUUAGAGAUGGAGUGAAAUAACUCUUUGAGCAUUUUAGUCAUUUUUUACUGGUCCGAUUCUUCUGUUUUUUAACCAGCUCUAUUAUUCUAUGGUGAUGGAAUACUGAUAAUGGUCCAAAGAAGUCAGUUUUAUCCCACCAUUUUGUCAUUAUUCUUCUGGUGAGCCAUUUUACAUCAUUAAUGGGAAAUUCAUUAAAUUUCUUUGGCUUUCUAGAGGUUAAGAUAUAAUCCCACUUGGCAAUCCAUAGUAUUUUAUACAGCAAAGUAAAUUCUAGUCUGGGAUUUGAUAAAGGCUCAUUAACCUUUGCAAACUGUUCAUAAACAGUUCUGACCUUAUCCGGCAAAAUUAUUGGGAAAAUUCCCCAAUUAAAGAACCAUUCAUGGAACCAUGGGGGAAAUUCUUUAAUCUCCCUUUCCAGUUGAAACUGAAUAAACCAGCUGAACUUUCUUUGCCGAUUUUCAUACAGUAAAGCUCCAGUCCAUGCUUGGAUAUAGUCAAAAUAAUUAUACCAUCUGAGUGUUCCAUAUGUCAUCUCCCUUUGUUUAAACCCUCCACUGUUCGCUGGUAAUAAUAUUUUUAAUGACAAAUUUACUAUAGGCCCAUUGAUGGCCUGUUCUUUCAAUGGGUGCUAUCUCUACUGAACCCAUCUCAGUAAGUAUGGCCUGAUAAUAAUCAAAGGCCUUAGGAUGGUAUGGGACAAUGGAGUGGUGUUCAGUAUAAUAGGCGGCAAUUUCAUAUGGGUUCAGGCUUUUAUAUUUCUUUUCUAUAGGACUCAGUACAUAAUAACUGAUAGGUACAUAUGGGUAAUUUACCUCUUUGUCGUUCACAGGCUUGAUGCUUAUUUUAUAAGCAUCUUCUCGUACAUGGUCCGAUUCUUUAACCGGAGUUGAAGAUGAUGCUUCUUCAUAUUGUCUUUUGGAUGGAGUCUUUGUACUCAUUUCCUGUAAGAAAUUCUCUUGUUAGAAAAUCAGGCAAUGAAUUAGAUUCUCCUUUUAUGAACUCAAUAUCAUAAUAAAAAACAGACAAAAUAGUCUGCCAUCUAGCAAAUAUUUGUUUUGAUGUUAUGUUUUUAACAUCUUUAAGGAGUAUUUCCUUUGCGCUUUUACAAUCAAUCCGUAUUAGGAAUUUCUGAUUUAAUAAAUCAGAUUCAAAUUUUUGAACACAUAAAACAAUUGACAAAAUUUCUUUUUUAACCGUAGAGUAAUUUACUCUAGGUCCUACCCAUAUACCACUAGUGAAUCUUACUAGGGUUUCCUUAUCAUUAAGUUUUUGUUUUAGUAUACCUCCAUAUCCUUUUUCUGAGGCAUCUGUUUCGACUAUUUUAAAGGACUCAGGGUGUGGUAUAGCAAGACACGGAAGGGUUUUUACCCUUUCUUUAAUUCUUUUUACUGCUAGAGUGCAUUCUUUAGUCCACUCAGGAGGAUUCUUUCUUAGACGCUGAAACAAAGGCUUUGCUUCUUGUGCUAGAUUUUUGUAAAAAUCAGCUACAUAAUUCAAGCUUCCUAAGAAUCUUUGUAACUGAGUUUUAUCUUUAAUCUCAUCAGGAAAUUUACUAGCAAAUUCUAUGGCUCGGUUUAUGGGUAUAAUGGUUCCUUUAGAGAUGUUGUGACCCAAAAAUCUAACUUCGGUUUGGAAGAUCUUUAUCUUCUUGGCCGAAACAACUAGACCGUUUAUUUUAACGAUCUUUUCAAACAUUCUUAAAUGCUUGAAAUGCUGAUCUAUUGUCUUGGAGAAGAUUAAGACAUCAUCAAUAUAAACAAUAGAAAACGCUGAAUAAACGUUAAAAAUUUCAUUCAUAAUCUUCUGGAAUUCAGAAGGAGCAUUCUUUAAUCCAAAUGGCAUGACAUUCCACUCAUAAUGCCCAAAGGGCACAGUGAAAGCUGUUUUAUAUUUAUCUUCUUCAGCUAUCUGGAUUUGCCAGUAUCCAGACUUCAUAUCAAAUUUUGAGAAAAUAGUGGCUUCAUAAAGCCUCUUCAAGAGAUCUCUUUUAUUGGGCAGUGGAUACCUUAUCCAUCUUAGCGCCUUGUUUAAGGGCUUAUAAUUGAUAACCAGUCUUGGGACACCUCUCUCAAGUUCAGCAGCAUUUUCUACAUAGAAUGCUGGACAGCUCCAUGGGCUACUACUUUUUCUAAUUAACCCUUUAGCUUCUAGCUCAGCUAUUUCUUUCUUACAAAUUUCUAGGUGUCUUGGCCCCAUGGCUAUGGGCCUGGCCUUUGUGGGAAUAGCCUUUUCUGAAAACUCAAGCUCAUAUGGCAAAUUUACCACAUGCCUUUUCCUGGUCCAGAAUGCAUCUGGACUUUCAGCACAAAUGCUGCUUAUCAAUUCUUCUUGGAUUACUUUAAUCCUCUGUUGAAUUUUAGGUUCUUUUAACCUAUCAUCUAUACAUUUAUAGAUAACUUCCUGUUUCAAGGAAUUUAUGAAUUUAGUUUUAUUUUCUACUAUGUUUUUUAACACAUCUAUUUCUUUCAGUUUAGGCUGAGAGCUAAAGUAAAAGGUAAUGACCUUACCGUUUAUCUCGGUACUAAUUCCUUCUUUGGUUAUUUGGAUGGGGUAUAGCAUAUAAAGAAAGGAUUUCCUAAGAUAACAGGAUGAGAUAAUCCUUUUACCAUAAGAAAAGGGAUUUCGAAACAGGUACCUUGAUUGCAGAUAACGGUAUUGUUUAGUUUGUAUUUUACCGACAUUUUGCUCCCGUCUGCUGUAUGCAACUCUUCAAGCGUUUUUUAGAAGUAUUUUGAAGGCACUAGUCCUUCAUUAAUGCAAUUGAGAUCAGCUCCCGAGUCGAUUAGUGCAUUUGUUUCGAACACAUAGUUCUUAUGUACUACUAUGGUAACCUUUGUAUGCCACUUAUGGGUAAUUACCCUAUCAGCCAUGUUGAUGUAAUGAAGGUUGUUGAGGUCUUUACCUCCUUGAUCUUCUUCUGGUUCUUCCAUAGCUAACUGUUGAUGUUCGUUUAACAGCUCUAGGAUGUUUAUCCUUUCUUUUAUUUCUUUAAUCUCAGUUUUUACUGAGUUAAGUUCUGAGCGUAACUCUGCCAUUGUUGGCUCUUUUUGCCUCUUUGAGUUUUUAACUCUUUCUAAUAUCUCUUUAAGGUCAUAAAUAGGUUGUCUGCUUUCUAUCUUCUUGUCUAUUAGGCCUUGUGCUGUGGUGUUCGUUUCUUUGUCUUUGUAGAGGCCAAUAUAAGUUUCUAACUUCUCUCUUUUCUUUUCUGGAUCCUCAAUAUUGUCUAUCAGAUCAAGGAUAAGAUUAUCCUCUUUUGUUAGUACCAGAAGGCCAUUCAUUGCACAUAGCGAUUUAUAAUAAUUGCAGUUUCCUUCACAUUCUUCCUCUUGAUUCUCCUCUUCCUCCGUACUACUUUCUUCCUCUUCUGUGGUAUAAUCCUUUGCGUAAAGUGCCAUAACUUCUUGUUCAGAAUCUGUUUCGUUUAGCAAGAUAUUUGCUAAAGCCUCUUUGAUAUCUUCUUCAAUGGUGAGUGCCUGUAUUUGCUGCUUGACUCUACACUUAUUAGCAUAGUGUCCCACCUUUCCACAUUUGUAGCAGACUAUAGUUUUCUCUGCUUUGCCUUGACUAGGCUUCUUUCUUUCCUUUGGCUUCCGACUACUGUCAGGUUUUGGAAACCUUCUAUGCUUCUCCUUGUAUGGACGUUUGUUUGUGAAGAAACGCUUGCGUCGAUGAUGCCGAACUUUGUCGUCCUCUCUCCUACCCCCCCUUAAAUUUCAUGGACGGAAAUUUAAUAGGUGGUAAUCCAUACUGCUCACAGAAGUUACCAAGGAUUUGUUUGCCAUAGAACCUUUCUUUCUGCAUUUGCUUAUGAAUUUUUAAUUCAUUGCAAAGAUGAAUUCCUGUAGUAACCACUUCAGAGGCGAGUUCUCCAUACGUGUAGUCAUGAUACGGUAUAUUAUCGUUAUGCUUACUUCGUAUUUGAUCUCGUACUCGUUCAGCAAAGAGUGCGGGGAGUCCUGCCAAGAACUUUUCUUUCCAGACAUGAUGCUGGCUAUCUUCUCUAGUAAAAACCAACGAGAAAAAGGUAUCUUUAUACCAUUUGAAAUGAGAAAGGUCUGGGCAGCGCAGAUUUAUUAACUGCUCUUGUGCUCUGUCAGUAAACAUGCUGACUGAUCCGAUGAAGUGCAACCCUAUAGUAUAUAAUAGGGUGUUAACCACAUCUGGAACUUGUUGAGCUCCUUCUUGUUUAACCAUGUUGAAUAUCUGGAUUUUUCCUUCAUUGGAUACUGAAAAAUCCCACCAACCUUUUAGUUGGCCACUGAACCCUGCUAUUAGGGCUCUUGCAGUAGCGGGGUCAUCAUUACCCUUUGCUCUACAUGCUGUAGCAUGCAUGGUCAUGUACUGGAGGACAUUUUUGAUUUGAUAGUCGGACAACCCAUCAAUGUUCCAUUCAAUAAUGGAAGAUCCAUCUACUUACACCGGAUUGUAGUUCAUAUCUUCAUACUGCAAGUUGAUUGGUGAUGGUCUAGGAUAGUAAGGCUUCAGAUCCAUUGUCGCCUGAGGUUUAGGAUACUUUAUCCUAUUUACUUCUGCUGGCUCAGAUUCUCGCAACAUUGUUUCGAGUUGAAUUAACUCCUUUUCUUCGUUUGGCAAUUCUACUACUUCUUCUUCUUCUUCUGACUCCAUUGUUAACGGAGCAAUUGCCUUCAUUUUGGCGUCCUCUUUUAUUCCCAGUUUGGCUAGCCUCUUAGAUAGUUCUUCUAGCAUUUCUUCAUUCUUGCUUAAUUUGAGGCCAAUGUUCUUACUAUCCAUAGGCUUCAAUAGCACCUUUUCUUCGACUUUGGUCCUUGAGGUUUCUGCAACUUCUUUUCGUGGAAGAAUGUCCAUUGCUUUUGGUUGGGCAGCUAUUUUCGAGACUUGAUUUUCAACUCUAGUUAAUUGCUGUCCAAUUGUGUGAAGGCUCAGGUUUGUAUAGUUUUGCUGUCUAGCUGCUGGGUUGCUAGUUUGAUCAUGAGAAAAGGGAAUGCAUUCAACUUUUGUAUUUUCAGUUGGUUGAUAUGUCACAUCGGUCAAAGGUGGAUGCAUUUCUUUGAGAAUUUUCUUUUGGGGAGUUAUGAAGGUUUUAUAAUGAGUUUCAAGGGUGGCUAGAAAGAAAGGGUCGUCGAAGUUAGGGUAUGGUUUUUUGAGUAUAGAGAAGCAAUGUUGAAUAAAGGCAGGAAAGUCUUUACUUCCUUGUUUCUGCACUUUGUAUAGCUCAUACUUCUUGUGCCACAUCCUUUGUUCUUUGCUGGGAACCUCCAUGCCGAACCAUUUGUCAAACGGUGUGUCUUCGACUUCGAGCAUCAUAAUUUUGAAUGAUUUGGAGAGUAUGCUUUCAGCAUCAUAGCCCAUGCCUGACGGAGUUGGACUUUGGGGUCUUGGAGCUGGGCUUUGAGACCCUGCAUAUAUUGGAUUUACUAUUUGCUCUUCAGAUCUUUGUACUCCAAUAACAGAAUUACUCCGCUGAAUAGGCGUCGAUGUGGAAGACCUCAGAGGUAAUGGUUCCGAUAAUAAAGAAACUCCUGAAUAGGAUCUCCUUUCUGCAAUACUUCUGCUUCUCCCGAAAGAAAUUGCUACUGAUCCUUCGUUUGUUUGGACAAUUGAUUGAACAGUAGUUGACUCUUCUUUCUUUGGUGGUACAGCUUCUUCAAGAAUCCAAUUGUCAGGCAAAUUAACCUGAUCUCAUUGGAUUGGUUUUGGAACUAUCAAGUUUCCUUUUGACAUAUUAGUCACAAACAAAGUAGUAGUUUCUUUUGGAGAGAUCAACUUUGUUGCACUGUCCCUCAAAUUAGGGACUACUGUGUUCAUUACUUUGUAAUGGAUUCUGUAGAUCAAGAUUAGAUAUUCUGAUCCUGGAGCCAUGUCAUAUCCCAUUGUUUUUAUAUCAAGAACCAGGAUUCUCAUAAUAUGUGGAUCUGUGAGAGACAACGUAAGAUUUGGAAAGCAUUGAAAAAAAAUUGGUCCAUCACAAAGAGAGGAUUCUACCACUCCUAAUAAGGAGUCAUUGAAUUUAUUGUGCCGUUUGUCUCUGACACAAAGCAUCGCGGCUGUAUUAAGCCCUAACCUGGUUGCCGGUUUUACCGCAACUUGAAUCAUUCCUAUAUGUAGGAAUAUUUACUGGUACGUGACGUUGUCACCCAAGUCUUCUCUACGGCUAAUAUAAUAAUAAUAAUUAUAAUAAUAAAUAUUAUUUAUUAUAUAAUUAAAAAAUAAAACAUCUUGUGGCGCCUACCACAAAUAUGACUGUGCAAUUCAUCGGUUUGAUUUUAAAUUAAAUUAAAUAAAAAAAUUUUAAAAUUAAAUUUUAAAAAUAUUAUUAAAUUAAAUUAAUUAUUAAAAUAUAAUUAAAUUAAAUUAAAAAUCAAUAAAAAUUGAAUAAUUAAAUUCGAUUAAUCAAUUAUUUAAUACAUUUAAAUUAAAUAAAAAAUUUACUAAUUUAAAAAUAUUAACUGAAUUAAAUCAAAUAUUUCAAUUAAUCAUAAAUCAAAAUCGAUCAGUUUGAUUUCUCAUUUUAAAUUAAAUUAUACUCUCCCUAAUUACAAAGGGACCAUAGUUAAUUACAAAGGGACCAUAGUUAUAAAGGAACCAUAUCGAGUCAUUUUUAGUAAAUAGUACUGAGUGAAACAUAAAAUUUUAAAUAUUUUACAUUUUAACAGUAAAAACCUAAAAAUCUCAAAAUUCAUAUAUUUUCAGAAUUUAAGAUUUUCAACCAUAACAAAAUAAAAAAAAAUAUAAACUAUCGGAAUUAGUCAACAUUUUAAUUUUUUAUAUUAUACUUGGUCUCCAAAACCGUCCAAAUCUUUUUUGAGAUAUCGUGAUAGCACAUAAAUCACAUAAACGAUAUGUCAUAGAAUUGAGAAGAUGGGCCUCUGCUUAGAAAUUCAUCUUCCUCAUACUUUUUCCUUGCUUGUUUGACUUCUUCAGUAUCAUUAGGUUUUGGUGGGGGAAUAUUAUUAAAGAAGGAUUCAGGACAUAAGCAAUCUUCAAAGCAGUGAGUAUAAAUAACAUUUUACCUCCCCAACAAGUAAAAUUGGUGCUAUCAACUUCACUUUAAAAUUGCUGGUACUAAAACAAUAGAUAAAAUAAAAAGCAUCUGUUGGUUUUGAGGCAUGAAGAACUCUAUCUUUAAAGUGAUCUUUCCCCUCUCAUAUUGCUGCAGACUUAUGGCAAAUCUUUCCAGGAUACAACGAAACCAACCAAAACCUGCAAGCAGCACCUCCUGAAGAUUUUCUUUAGAAUAUUUCUUGACUAAUCUUGCAGAAAAAAAAAAAAAGGAAUACAAACUGUUUACAGCAGUUUAUAUAUGUUGGUUUGAUGAACCAACACAAAUAGUCACAACCAAUUUGGCUCUUAAAAACUAACAAUAAACAACUGAAAUAAAUUUUAUAAUUAUCCUUUAGAUUUGAAUAGAACAUAAUUUAAUCAACUUGUAUUUCAAUCUAUUCUAGCAUAUUUGAAUCAUCACAGCUAGUGCAAGAUACAAAGCAAGUCUCUUAAUUUCUGGUGCAAAACAUUUCAUGAUUAAGUAGAAUAUAUAAUCAAUGUGCAAAUCUAAAUUUAUAUGAUACCAUAGAAAAAAAUGAAAACUCAGUUGUUCAACCUCAAACCAGGUGAACCUGUAGAAGUGAUAAAUGAUCAAGAUAUUUUAAAUGCAAAAUUAACGGCUAGUUGUAUAUCUUUGAACAAAGUGAACAAAAAUGAAAUCUAGUAUAGAAAAGAAUAGAAGAGCGGAAAAUCUUCUGAUGUAUUUCAAGUUCCAACAAUCGAAUUUAAAAACUCAAAUAAAUGCAAAAUGCGCCAAAAAAAUAAUACAAGAAAUUCAAAAUUGAAAGUAUAAUAUAAGUAAAACAGAUUCAGGCAUGACAAAGUGGACAGUUUAGUCUUGUCAAUGCUGAAAAACUCAGCAUGCAGCAUGGACACAUUUUAUUCAUUCUUAUUCAUGAAAGAAAGACAAGUUGAUCCCCAAGAGAUCAAAUGGUACCAAAUCACAUGGAACGCCAGCCUUCUUAUCCAAGCUCACCCAUAUGAAAAUCGGCCUAUCCCCAUAUCUUCAGCUUUCUGAGAAAGUAAUUUGACAGUGAAAGAAUGAGCAAUCUUGUGAUCUUUUAGGUACAAAAAUAAUGUAUAAAAUAUGUAUUAAUUUUUGUCAAUAAAUGUUUACCAUUUCCAUAAAUAAUGCUUGAAUGGUGUUAUUAAGGCUGCUUUCCCAUUCCCAUUCCCAUUCAUAUAUAUGUGGACCUGUUUGAACUCUCCAUAGAUGCGGCGUGCUUACUUCAUGAGCAAAAAUCUUCAUAUUAGGGCAUUCUACAAUGAUCACUUCUUCCAUAGAUGGGAAACUGAAGUUCAAAUUUCCAGAGCAGAAGCUAGAGAGGCUUGGUAGAUGUUGAAGUUCCAAACAUUUUAGUUGGCUGAAGCAAAUCUCAUUCUCUUCUUCUUCUUUAUCUACUUUAACCACUAUGACUUCUUGUAUCAGUUCACAUUCCUCUAUCUUCAUUUUUUCAAGUCGCUCAAGACUUCUCGCUGUUGAAGAAGACAACAAAUUUACUAGACCUUGGCAAUUUGAUACCUGCAGCUCUGUUAAAUUUUGAAAAGAAACAGAGGAUGCCACUAAUACUUGCAAUUUACCACAUUCCAUUACAUUUGAAGUGUCCAGAGAUUGGAAAACUGAGAUUAGUUGGGCGUCCCUGAGAUGCUUGAGCCUUGGCAGUUUAGACAAACUUAGUUCUUUCAAUUUCACAAGUGAUUGGAGAUGUAUUUCCUCGCCAAUAAUAUCUUCACAAAAAAUAAUAUCUUCGAAAGAAGCAUCACUCAGAACAAGCUCCUCCAGAAUGGGUAAACUUUGAAAGAAAUGAGAUGGCAAAAGUGUAGAGUCACUAGAAAUACAUGUCAACUCAAUGCCUUUCAAUCCACACAAGAAAUCAGCUUGAGAUGUUUGAGAAUCACAGAUUCUUUAUGGUGUUACAUUCCACUCUUAAUUCUUCUAAACUUGGAAUGACAACCUAAUAAACCAAAUAAACAGUGAUUAUAAAUAGGGAUAUAUGAGAUCAAAACAUUAAGAACAUAUGGUUCAUCUUAGAAAUGGAAUGUAAAUGAAAACAAACAUCUUAAAGAUCCCAGUAAAUUGAAAUUCUCCAUUUUUUAGGCUAAGAGUUCGAAAAAUCAAGAAAUUAAACUUUUUAAAUUUUUUAAAUUGAGCUUAAGUUCAAACUUCUGAAUUAAUUUGGAUAAAGCAACUAAAUUGAAAAUCUCCAAUUAGUACAAUGAUGAAAUUGAACAAGAAAUUAAACUUAUUAUAUAGAAAACUGACCUUCCCACCAAUUGAAAUAUUGGAGUCCUCCUCGUGAAUUCUUUCUUCAUUUCCCUCAGCAAUCAUGCUUAGAUCUUGCUCUUGGCAAAAUUUAGAAGCCAGUAAUUCCAUGUUUGGACAGCCAACUAUCUCAAUUCCUUUCAAGGAUGGUAAUUUCAGAACAUCACUUGCAGAAUAAAAACUUGAUAAGCAAGGCAAACACUCUAGAAUUAUGGAUUGCAUUGAUGGAAAUAUGGUAUUAUCCUUCCCUAUUUCCUCUUCUGCUUCUUUUAUGAUGACAUGGUCCACCAAAUUACAUCUUUUUACUUCCAAAUGUUGGAGAUUUACAAGACCCGAAGCCAUGGACAGAGUAAAUAUAUUAGUCAAGCUGCUACAAUUCUCAACUUGCAACAACGUUAGGUUUUCAAAGCUCAUAAUUCCUUGAGGAUCCUUGUUCCACACAUGGACCAAUGUAGGCAAAUCGAUUAACCUCAAUUCUUCUAGAGACUUUAAUAACCCAACAUCACCUUCAUCAGCAUUUAGCCCUUCUAAUUCAAACAGCUCUUCUACUGAAUCACUGUAGGCAAAUCGAUUAACCUCAAUUCUUCUAGAGACUUUAAUAACCCAACAUCACCUUCAUCAGCAUUUAGCCCUUCUAAUUCAAACAGCUCUUCUACUGAAUCACAUCUUUCUACGGCCAGCUUUUUUAACAAGUGCAAGUGCUUUAGUACAUUCGAUGAUAUGGCAUUUGAGAAAUAUGCACACUCGUCCACCACCAAUCUUUCCAAGUACUCGAAUGGAAAUUGGCCAUGCCAUUUUUCUUUCAGCAUGGAAAAGUUGGAGAGUUGAACAUCAUCUAUCCAUUCAAAUCCAAUCUACAAAUAAAAAAUAUUGCAUUAUUGGGGAACAAUAAAUAUUGCAUCAUCUAACCAAACAUAUUAGCACAACUGAGUUUAAUAAAGAGAGAAGCAAGAGUUGGUAAGUACUUACAUAUUUCAUGUAAAGUUGUUCAAUGGUCGCAUUGAGAUUGCCUUCCCAUUGAAAUGUUAGAUUGAAUUUGUGGCCUGUGAAUACACCAUGUAUCUUUGAUGCGCUCAGCUUGUUGACAGUGAAAAUUCUCAACUUGGGACAUUUAAGGACAAUCACUUGUUCUAAAGAUGGGAAAUUGAAAGUGUAACUGCCCAAGCAGAAGCAUGUGAGGUUCUGUAAAUCUUCAAGUUCUAAUGUUUUCAUUUUACUGAAAACAAUCUCAUCGGUUGAUCCAUCCUCUUGAACACCUCCUAUUAUUUCGGUCAACAUAUUGCAAGAUCUUACAAUCAAUGUCUCAAGUUGUACCAUACUUUUGGCCGCGGCUGAUGUAAAAAUAUUUGCCAAUGUGUUGCAUCCAUAUACUUUUAGAGUUUUUAGAUAUUGCAAAGACACGGAGGAUGGUGCUAAAACAAUCAAAUCUCCACAAGACUUUAUCUUAAGAGUCUCAAGAGACUGAAGUAAUGGUUCAUGCAGUUGGCCAUCUGGAUUCCAUAUAUGCUUCAAAUCAGGAAGAUUUUUAAGCUUUAAAUCUCUUAUUUGUGGAACUGUAGUGAUAUCUUCUUAAUCACCACCCAGUCCUUCAAAUGGAAGUAACUCAUUGAGAGAAGAAUCAAGAACUUCAAAUCUUUCGAGAUUAGAGAAUAUUGGAAGUAAACUAAACAGAGGAACAUGAUAUUUGUUUAGAAAGAAACUCAAUUCAAGAACUUUUACUUUGGAAAAGAAGCCUGUUGGAAAUUGAAAUCCAAGUAUGGUUAUGGUAGACUUCUUGUCUAAGGACAAUUUUCUCAAAUUUGGAAACAUCUGCACAUCAGCAAAUAAAAAAAUUUCUAAUUAGUAAAAGAUUGUUAAUGAUAAAUCCCCUAGAUGCUUAUAAAAAUUCAUAAUAUAUUUAAUUAAUUAAUAUAUUAAUAAGAAAACAAUUUCUAUGUUAUAAUAAACAUGUAUUAGUAUAAAUGGUAGCCUUAUUUUUGUAUAAAGCCUUAUUUUUGUAUAAAAUUUUUGAAAUGUAUUUAUAAGCUUAUAUGUUAGUAAAUUUCAAUGAUCCAAUGAGUAUAAAUUUAAAAGUUUAUUGAAACAAUGAAAAAUAUAAAUAUUUUAUAUUAUCAUUAAAUAAUUUCAGCACUUUUUUAUAAUUAUUUAUUUAUUAACAUGGUUUGACGUGCAAAAUUUAUGUUCUUUUUAUUAAUUAUAAAAUUAUAAUCAUCUUAUUAAUUAAAAUUUUUAAGUGGAAAAAAGUACAAGAAAUCGACAUUUUAAAUUUACGAAAUAUUAAUUUAUAUAUAGAUGCAAAUGAAUUUGAAUUUUAGAUUUUAUAAGUUAUAGAUAAUCAAUUAUAAAUAAUUGUUGAUACAUUUUAAUAGUGAAAAUAGAAAAUUGAUUUUUUUUUUUAUUUUAACAACCUAAUUAAUUAAGAAUUUUUAAGGAGAAUAGUAAAAUAUAUUAAGUUUUUAAAUUUCUCUAAUAUAAAGUUAGUUUUGAGUAAAUUAAAUUCUUAACAUAUAAUUUUUUUUUUCUAUAUCUUUUAAUGAAAAGUUUUGUAUGAUUUUUUUUGAAAAACACUUAUUUUAAAAAAAAAAAAUGAGAAAAAAAAGUUAACAUUAUAAAUACUUUUUAAAUGUAAAAAUUAUUUAAAUAAAAUAAGCUGACGUAUAAAUUAGUGUUUUUAUACUUCUCAAAUGCAAUAUUUGAGAAAAGAAUAAAUAGAAAACUAACCUUAUAAAGAAAAGGUGUAUGAAGGUGUAUGAAGCUCAUCAACUGUGUUCACUAGUGUUUGUGUGGCAAAGAUAUUCUUUAAGCUUGUACAUUCAUGUAUGCUCAUCUACUCCAAUAAUGGACAUUCCACAUUACUCCAUCCUGAACACAAUCUGGAAAAUUCAGAUGCCUUAAAAUAUUGGUAAAAUGUCUGAUCCCACAAAAAAAAAAGGGAAAAACAAUGAACUGACUACUUAUCAUAAACAUAUAACAUAUAAGCAUACAACAGAUAUCAUGAAAAUUAAGAAGAAAGCAUAAGAAUAAAUAUGCAAAUACCAUUUCUGCUAGUGUUGCAUUAAGGUUUCCCCCCCAACGCUGUUGAUCUCCCAGGAGUAUUCCUCGUAGCUUUGGUGUAUUUAGAUCUCCGAAAGCGAAAAUCUUCAUCCGGGAGCAUCCCUUGACGGUAACAUUUUCUAAAGCUGGAAAAUUGAAGGCAUUAUUGCCGGAGCAAAAGCUGAUGAGACCAGGCAGACCAUCAAGUUCCAAACAUUUCAGUUUGUUGAAAUUAAUAAUCUCAUCCUCUGUAUGAUCAUCUCCAUCGCUGGUCACUAUUUCUGUCAUCAUACCGCAAUCUCGUACUGUCAUUUUGGUGAGUUGCACCAUGGACUUGGCUGUGGCCGCUGUUAUCAAGUUUGCCAAUCCUGCACAGUACCUCACUUCAAGAGUUGCUAGAUUUUGGAAAGAUGAUGAGGAUGGUGCUACGUUGAUCAAACUACCACAAUUAAAUACACUCAAAGUCUCGAGAUACUGAAGAAGUGGUUUCAGUCCAGAGUCUGGGUCCCAUAUAUGCUUUAAACUAUAAACGGCCUCUAGCUUCAAAUUUUUCACUCGUGCAAGUGUCCUGGCAUGUUCUUCUUCUUCUCCAGCAAGUCCUUCAUAUGAGAACAACUCUUCUGAAGUAUUUGGACCUUCUACCAAAAUUGUUUCCACAGAAUAUAAUCUUUCAAGGAAACCAAUUAUGAAAGGGCGUGAUUUGUUCUGUAAGUUGGUCAAAGUAAGCAUUUUGAGUUUAGAAAAGAAUUGUCCUUGCUGUAUCGCAAUCAAGUCCUUGUGCUCUAAAGUCAAUUCCUCCAAGUUGGGACUCAUCUAUGCACAACAAACAAGUAUAAUGUUAAACUAAUUAAAAGUAUAAUGUUAAACAAGUAUAAUGCUGUAAGGUAAUGGUUAAUUAGUUAUUAAAUAUUUAAAAAGAUAAAUAAAUAAUAUAUAUAUAUGACAUGUACACUAAUUUAAAAUUAACUAAAAUUAUUUUAAAAGUUUGAUAUAAUUAUAAAAAAAAUUAAAAAAUUUAGAUAUAAUAUUAGAAGUUUGAGCUAUAAUUGCAUUAAACUUAAAAUUUUAGCUUUUGUUAUUUAAAAUUGAAAAUUUUGUUAUAAUUAUCAUUAAACAUAAAGUUUAGCAUUUGAUAUCCAAUAGGCGGUUUGAAUAUAUUGUAUUGUUUAUAUUUUUUAUGUUUUCUUUAAAAAAAAAAAUAAUUUGAAAUAUUUAAGGAAAUUUGAGGAAAAAAAAAUUUCAACUAAUAUAUUAUGAAGUAAAAAAGAAAAGGAUCUUACCUUUUCCAAAAAAAGUAGGGGUUGUCUGCCCUCUUUCUGUAUUUCUUGGGAACUGAAUUUUAUUAUUUUGUGACAAUUACGAACAUCCAAACUUGUCAAUUUCUGACAUUCAAAAAUGUGUGUCCCUGGAAACAGAUAGUUUAGAACAUCGCAAUCUGAAACUUUAACUGAUUUCAAAUUUUGAAAACUAAAAACUCCUUGUGGAUCCUUCUUCCAUAUAUGCUUCAACGACCUCAGUCCAUAUAUAUUUAGACUUCUCAGCUCAAAUGCUUCAUUAACAUUGAACCCUUCAAGUUGAUAUAUCUCUUGCAACGAAGCACAACUGCUCACAUGCAACUCCUCCAUUUUUCGGAAUCUUUCUAAGAUAUUUGAUGGAAAAACAACCAUCAAUUUCUGGCAAAAAGAAACAUUCAACGAUUUUAGUUUAAAGAAGGAAUUUGCCGCAAGUGGGCUGUGCCAUAUCCUUUUCAACUCAUUUAUGCCGAAGAGACUCAAUCUCUCCAAGUUAGGGAAACCAACCUGCAAUACCAAACACACUCACUGAUUUAGUAAAUGCGAGAACUUCAACAUAAACAUAAGUUAAAUGAAUAUGAGACAAAAAUGUAAUCGUUCGAGGUGAUGUGAAGUGGAGACCUAUCGAAUUAAAGUCUUUUAGUCAACAGAGGGAUUAGGCCUACCUAUUAAUGAAUGCCAUUUGACUAUAGGAUGUCCAAAUAUGUACGCACUUAUGCAUGCUUAAAGAGAGAAGGGUAAAAUUAAUCACCAUUCCAUUGAAGAGAGAUUGAAUUUCAGCACUCUGAUUCUGAUUCAUCUCUGUGUCAUCUUGUGUUUCCAUCAUGCCUGUAUGAGGGACACUGGGGACCAAACCCAUCAAUGCAUCGCAACGGCUUAUGUUCAAGUAUCUAAGAGAUUGAAAUUCAAUUUGAUAUCCAGUGCAGAAUCUAAUCAACUCUGGAAGAUUCCAAAGUGUCAGUUCAUCCAAUUUAGGGAAGAGUAUCUGAUUCAACCUCUCAUCUUCCUCUUCUAUAAAUUCCUCUGUUAGUAUUAUUUCUUCCAUGGAACUACAAAAGGAAAUAUAAAGUGUUUUGAGCUGAAAGAGUCUUUUAACAAUUGAAGCUGUAAAUAAAUGCUUCAACUCGUUGCAGCUAAUCACAGACAAGCUCUCUAAUUUUGAAGAAGUUGCAGAAAGUUGGUCGUGCCAUAUCUUUUCACAACUAACUGAAUCUAAUUGAAGAUGCUCCAAGUUGGGGAAAGAAACCUACAGCAGAUAACACCUUUAUUUGAAGCACUACUUUUCUAUGGAAAUAAAUAGAAAUGCUUUACGAAUCAACAAUGAAUUCCCUCAAAAAUGUGAAGUCUUUAAUAUCCUUUCUUAGUUUUGGAGGCAAUUAGUCAAUUUUUUAAGUGGAGGCAAUUAGUUAAUUUUAUAUAUUCUUACACCUCUCAUACAAGUAAAUCUUGUAUAACUUAAUAAAAUAAUAAAAAUAAUUACUUCAAUUUAAAAUUAAAUGUAUAAAUCUUUAUAUUUUUUUUUAAAAAAAUAAAUAUUUAAGUAUCAAAUUUGAAAAUUUCUUAACAUAAUUUGUUAUAAUCCAAUCAUAAAAAAUACAAUUAAAAAUAUAAAGUAAUUCUUAAUAUGUUCUCACUAAUUACAAUAAUUUAAAAAUAUUCAUUAAAUUUUAUCAUAAAAAAUAUAUGAGAUAACUUUAAAAAUAAAAUAUAAAAAUACUUUAAAUUAAAUUAUUAAAAUGAAAGGAUAAAUUAAAUUAAAGCUGGAUUCUCUGUGUGUUUAAACGGACCUACUAUUUAUUAAUUUUAAUCAUUUAAAAUUUAAUAAUAUUAAAAUAUUUUUAUAUAUAUGUCUCAUUUAAAAAUUUAUAUUAUAUUAUUACAAUCAUUUUAUAAUUAUUUUUCUUUAAAAAAAUGGUCAAUCAAAAAACAUAAGGAUCCCUCCUACUUCCGUCAGCUUUUUUUUUAUUAUUAUUAUUGGAAAAUCUAUCCAUUUGGUGAGAGAAUCUUUUUUUUUUUUUUUUAAANNNNNNNNNNNNNNNNNNNNNNNNNNNNNNNNNNNNNNNNNNNNNNNNNNNNNNNNNNNNNNNNNNNNNNNNNNNNNNNNNNNNNNNNNNNNNNNNNNNNNNNNNNNNNNNNNNNNNNNNNNNNNNNNNNNNNNNNNNNNNNNNNNNNNNNNNNNNNNNNNNNNNNNNNNNNNNNNNNNNNNNNNNNNNNNNNNNNNNNNNNNNNNNNNNNNNNNNNNNNNNNNNNNNNNNNNNNNNNNNNNNNNNNNNNNNNNNNNNNNNNNNNNNNNNNNNNNNNNNNNNNNNNNNNNNNNNNNNNNNNNNNNNNNNNNNNNNNNNNNNNNNNNNNNNNNNNNNNNNNNNNNNNNNNNNNNNNNNNNNNNNNNNNNNNNNNNNNNNNNNNNNNNNNNNNNNNNNNNNNNNNNNNNNNUAAUUUUUAAUUUUAAAUUUAUUUUUUUAUUUUUAAUUAAUUAUUAAUCUUUAUAAAAAUUAUUUAUAGUAACUAUUAAUAUUUAAUGUAUUUAUAAUUAAUAUUAAAAAUUUAUUAUAUUAUUUUAUUAAUUUAAAAAAAUUAUAUGUUUAAUGGUAAAAAUUAUAUAAAAUUCAGAUUUUAAAUGUUAUAAAAAUAUUAAUAAUGAUUUUUUAAUGAAUGUGGUGAAAAUAAUUAUUAUUUAUAAAAUUAAAUAUUUAUAUUUUGUUUAAAAAUAAUAAAAAUGAUGAAUAAAUUAAAUUAAUUUAAAUUUUAUUAUUAAUUUAUCAAAUAUAAAAUGAAUUUUAUUACAUUUAAAUUGAUUCCAAAUAAAUGAAUUUUUUUUUGAAUAGAAAUAAAUUGAAUUUCUAGAAUUUAAUUUUUUUUCUUAGAAGAAGCGCAUAUCAAAUAAGAGUAUAGUGUUUUUAAUGAAAGAGAAUGUGUGAUUCAAAUUUCAAAAUGGUCAAAUUGUUUUAAAAAAAUAUGUUAAAAGGAGUAAUAAUGUAAAGAUAUAAUUUUUAAAUAUGAAAUUAUCACAAUUAAUUCAUAUUUAUUGUUUGAUCAGCUUAUUCAUAUAAUAUACUCAUAAAAUAAAUUAAAUAUGAAUAAUCAAAAAUUAUAAAAAUUAUAUUCUGGUGAAUAUCUUCUAAAUUUUCAUAAACAAUAAAAUUAUAUUUAAUAAUGAAAAUCAUAAUAUCUAUUUCGUUUUAAGAAAUUUAAAGAGAUUUAAAUCAACAAAAUAUAGUGUAAUAAAUAAUAAUGAAAUAUAAUUAUUUAUAUAAUUUUUUUUAAUAAAUUAUUAAUGAUAAUGACUAAUAAUGAUUAAAAUAUUUAAAAAUUUGAAGAUUAAUCUCAAAUAUUGAAUAUAUAUCCAAUAAAUAAAAAAUGCAUACGGAAUUAUGUUAAAAGGCUAAUACACGCAUACCGUUCUGCUGAAAAGUGAUAAGUAAGUAUCAGUCUCCCGUUCUGAUAGAAAUUCCUCAAUUUUCGAUGACGCCUUCAUUUUGGUGUGAAAACUUCUAAGAUUCGGAAGAUUUUGCAAAUUCAACGAGCGCAAGCAAUUGAAUUCAAGUACUUCAUUACUGUUUUCAUUUUCAUCAAUAACAAUAGCUUCCAUUUUAGGACAAUCUCUUACUUCCAUUUCCUGUAAUUGCAAAAGACACUUGGCGGUAGAUAAUGAGAAGAAAUGCGUCAAUCUCUCACAAUUUCUCACUUGUAAAAUUUCUAAUUUAUUAAAAGAAUUUAGUGUGAGUCGGCCAUGACAAAUCUUCUCCAACUUCAUUAAAUUUUCUAAAUUCAAAGAGACUAGAAUUGGAAAGGCAUCACAUUCUGUCCACUUUGUCGAAUCGAUGAUAUGUUGAAUGACAUGAUUAUUUUGGACUCUGAAAUACUUCAAUUUUGGAAAGCCGUCCCCGUCAAUAUCAUACAACAAGUUCUCAGCCUCCCUCACUUCAUCUAAGCAUAAAUCUUCAGUCUCCCUCAAUAGCACUUUAAUCCCGUAUCCUGAAUGAAUGCAUGCCUUGAGCUUAAGUUUCAGCGUUCUGGAGGUUUUAUAGUUGCCAUCCCAGUCCCAGUUAUCCCCUAUCAGUAUUCUAAAGCUCUGCAAGCGGCCAUUGGAGAACAAGUGUUUUGGUAAUAUCUUGUCAUCCAGUAUUUGCAUUUCCGAGGUAGUCAACUGAGACAACUUUUCCAACUCAGCAAGGCUUGCAUUGUUCCCAUCGGCCUCCCACUCAACAAAGCUGUUACUCAUGUACAGUUCUUCAAGCUCCGACAGCUUUGAUAAGGCAUUUGCUGGAAUCAUUUUGAGUUUGGAACAAUUGCUCACAUCUAAGACUUUUAGUCGAGUCAGUUGCUCUAUUUGUCUGGGCAACUCAACGACGUAGGAGUUUGCAAAACUAAGAACUCGUAGUUGCUUCAAGUCUCCAAUGAUAGCUAAGUCGUCCAGUUGGCAUCGAUGCAAGCAAAGGGUAUGAAGGUUGGAUAGGAAAGCGAGCGAUGAAGGGAGGGACACAAAAUGAAUCCCAGUAAAAUCCACUACUUGGAGGUUUCUAAUGCCCUUGAAAAACUGAUGUGGGAUUCCCAAAGAAAAAAUUUCGGUAAAAAGGAGUAGUGCCUCUGCUUUUGGGCACUCCCAUCCUUCGGGGAGAUUUUCAAUAUCAC